AAGCGAAGGUGAGUCAAACUCAUCCAGUCAUCUCUGGUAUGAAUUUGAAGCAUUUCACUUAUGAGGAGCUAAACAACGCUACGAACCAAUUCAAGGAAGAACUAGGACGCGGUGCUUCUGCAAUAGUUUUCAAAGGAGUUCUAGCCUCAGAUAAUGGGAAGAGCGUUGCUGUCAAAAGCUUAGACACUAGGGUCGGAGAAAAUGAUUUGGAAUUCAAAGCGGAAGUAAGUGCUAUUGGCAGAACAAACCACAGAAAUUUAGUCCAGCUACUUGGAUUUUGUUACGAGGGAGAGCACCGAAUUCUUGUGUAUGAGUUUAUGAGCAACGGAUCUUUAGCAGGUGUCCUCUUUGGAGAGUCGAUGCCAAACUGGUACCAAAGGAGGCAAAUCGCCUUGGAAAUUGCAAGAGGGCUGUUGUAUUUGCAUGAGGAAAGUAGCAGCCAAAUCAUACAUUGCGACAUCAAGCCUCAAAACAUUCUUCUUGAUGAAAAUCUCACUGCAAGAAUUUCUGACUUUGGUUUAGCAAAGCUUUUGAGAAUCGACCAGACUCUAACCAUGACCGGAAUCAGGGGAACAAAAGGUUAUGUGGCCCCUGAAUGGUUCAAAAGGUUGCCUAUCACGGCCAAGGUUGAUAUUUACAGCUACGGAAUUCUGUUGUUAGAGAUAAUUUUCUGCAGGAAGCAUUUCGAGGCAGCGGCUGAGGAUGAAGGUCCAACGAUAUUAGCUGAUUGGGCCUACGAUUGCUAUAAGCAGAAUAAGCUGCACCAGCUAUUCAAGAAUAACGAUGAGGCAAUGCAUGACAUGAAGAUGGUGGAGAAGUAUGUGCUGAUUGCAAUAUGGUGCAUUCAGGAGGAUCCAUCGCUUAGACCUAACAUGAAGAAAGUCACAUUGAUGCUCGAAGGAACCGUCGAAGUCUCAGCUCCACCCGAUCCAUCUUCUUUCAUAAGUUCAAUACUUUAAGUUCUUCCAAUAAUAAUCCCAUUUCUUAUGUAUAUCAAAAGUUUUGUGUAUUUUUCAUUUUCAAGUACUCUUUGCUCUUAACGUACUGUAUGGUAUUGAAUGUACAUAAUUCUCUUAAAAUGUCCGAAUAAAUAGAGGAAUUAUCAGUUGUAUAAAACAUGGUCCGUCGUUUUCUAUGUCUAAAUAAAUAGAGGAAUUAUCAAUGGAGGAACCUUAACUAUUUUCAUGGUAUAAGAGUAGGUUGGCCUACGUGUGAAGUUUAACGGCUACACGUGCUCCGCUGCACCUAAUUUGUGUUGUCCACGUUUUUGGCUUGAAAAUUCGUCACACGUGAGGUGACAUGUGAGGUUGUGAAGGUUAAGGAGUCAUAUCAGUGAAAUGAGGCUUAUAAGAGGUUGACAUGAAUCGUUAGAUACAUGAGAUACUGCUACUUCAGUUUCGCAGCUUAUCUGAAUUUUAUUUACCCGGUGCACCAUUUUCACAGUGCAGUAGUAGUUUUAUAGGUUGAUAGGAAUCGUUAGAUAUGUGGGAGGUAGCUGUGUUAGUGUUGAGCAUCUAGAGUGACUAGGUUCCUUGCCUUUAUUUACCUUUCAUUUUAGUACUUCACUUUGCAAGCCUACGGGCAAUAAAUAGAUUAAAUAUCACUUAAAACUAUAAUAUCUUUCCUAAUCGCUGAAAGAAUAAUCUACAGCACGGCAACUACAGAGACUUCUAGUGAUUAAAUUAGAAGUCAGGUCGAAGAUAUGAGUCAUGGUUUACUGACUCUGGGACAACAGGCCAAGUAUUUUUCAGGUUUUAUAUUUGGGAGGACAAGUAUUUUUCAGGUUUCUAAUUGGGAGGACGGCAAGUCUCUUUUCAAUCUUUAUAUAUUUGGAAAUCACUUGGAAACUUUCUUCCUGGAAUGGUUCACGUUUUUAUGAGUAAUGCUACACUUAGGGCUGGAAAAAAUUCCCGAAAAUCCCGAACCAAACCAACAAAAUCCCGAUCCCAAACCAAAAAAAAUCUCAAACCAAAAUUCCCAAAAUUUUUAGGAUGAAAUACCGAACUGAUCCUAAAAUUUCGGUAUGGGAUUCAGUAUUGUCUACUCAAUCUUUCGGUAAUCCCAUACCGAACCAAAAAUAAAUAAUAUAUUAUUAUUAUUAUUAUUAUACAUUUGAAUGGUUGACAAGUACUAGUUGCAAUAUAAGUCUACAGGUAGUAAUCAUAGCCCUUUAUCGCCUUGCGUGUACAAAUCUCCCAUUAAUGUGUCUAUUUCUUCAACACGAAAUCAAAAAAAUUGUAUUGUUAGUUUUCAAACAUAUUAGGUUUUUUUAUGCACAAAACCGGAGGGUCUUGGAACAACGUAAAUCAGACCGUGAAUCUGUAAGAAAGUAAAGAACACAAGAUGUAUCGUGGUUCACCCCAAUGUUUGGGUUACGUCCACACUGAUAUUGUAUUUCUCUAUUUGUGAGAGGAUGAGAGGGUGAGAGCUUCUGAGGGUGAGAGAGCUCUUCCCAUGACCUAAGAAUUGGCCUUUUUUAAUGAGGAGAGUGAGAGGUCCUUUUAUAGAAUAAGGGUUCAUCACUUAUUACAUAGUUGCCCCUCCAUUUAUAGCAUAAUGACAUUUGAGUCCCCCGAGUAUUUAUACGAGGUCUAAAUACGGAUGCCCUAAGUAUGGUACAAACAGUAGUCCCCCAAGUCUUCAGUCAAGAGAGUCUUUUGGCUGGAGACUUGAAAUUCAGUCCAUGUGUGGGCCGAAGUAACUAGAUGUCGUCUAGAACAAAAUACUCGAUGUGAGGCGGUGCUCAAUGUGAAAUGAUGUUCAACUAGAAGUAGCACAUGUUGCGAGGCUGCUUGGCUUAUGCCUUAUGUUGCCUUGGUUGGCUCAGCUUGUGGCGUUGAAGGUGAAGAGGUCAUUUUUAUAGAAUAAGGGCUCGCUCCUCAAUACAUAAUUGAUGGGCUAGAGUUGAUGCUCGCGGCGAGACGGUUGCUCAGUUGGCGGCGAUGCUUUCUAAUGAUGGUGAGGGAGUCCCUUUUAUAGAAUAAGGGGUCGCUCCUCAAUACAUGAAUAAUGGGCUAGAGUUGAUGCUCGCGGCGAGGCGGUUGCUCAGCUGGCGACAAUGCUCUCUAAUGAUGGUGAGGGGGUCCCUUUUAUAAAAUAAGGGCUCGCUCCUCAAUACAUGAAUAAUGGGCUAGAGUUGAUGCUCGCAGCGAGGCGGUUGCUCAGCUGGCGGCGAUGCUCUCUAAUGAUGGUGAGGGGGUCCCUUUUAUAGAAUAAGGGAUCGCUCCUCAAUACAUGAAUAAUGGGUGCUCUCUAAUGAAAGUGAGGGAAUCCCUUUUAUAAAAUAAGGGUUCGCUCCUCAAUACAUAAAUAAUGGGCUAAGUCCCCCAAGUAUUUUUUAUGAUGCCCAGUUGAGGCCUAAUAUAUGGUACAUAAUGUAGUCCCCCAAGUCUUCAGUCAAUAGAGUCUGUUGGCUGGAAACUUCAAAUUGAAUCCAUGUAUGGGCCGAAGUGGCGGUUGUUCGAAGGCGGUAUUUGUAUACCCUGCACUGAAGCUUUGUAGGUGAAGCAUUGCAAGUGAAGCUUUUGAAGCUGAUUGACAUGAGUGAUGUUCAUGGAUGUUGACAUGAGUGAUGUUCAUGGAUGUUAACAUGAGUGAUGCUCAUGAAUGUUGACAUGAAUGAUGCUCAUAAAUGUUAACAUGAAUGAUGGUCAUGAAUGUUUAUGUAUGAUUGAUAUGAGUUAUGCUCAUGAAUGUUUAUGUAUGAUUGACAUGAGUGAUGCUCAUGUAUAAUUUUGGAAUAGUGGACGUACUUUUGAUCACCUGGUUGGUGGUAAUAGCGGCAGGCUGCCGAAUAAUUUUUUGUAGCACUGGACGUACUUUUGAUCACCUGGGCCUUCGCCCUCCACAUAACAUUCCAGCCCAUUACUUUGGGCUUGCCCUUUUUUUUUUACCUUCUGAUGGGGUUAUACAGAUGUCUCCGAAAGAUAAGAAAAAUAAACCACAUCAUUCAAAAAUAAGAAAAGUAAAUCACAUCUUUCUGGUGGGGUGUUUAUUCCUUACUUUUGCAGUGUCCUCAUGUGCCUCCCUUUUGCUUUCUGCUUUUUCUCAGUUUUUUCUGCUUUGCUUUUGCUUUUGCUUUUCUUCUUUUCUCUUUUCUGCUGCACCUCUCUUUGUCUCUCCACCUCCAGACAUACUCACAUGUAGUUGCUUUUGCUUUCUCUUUUCACUUUCUUUUUCUUUUUCUGCUUAGGCUCAGUGGACGAAAACAGGCAUAUUCUGAUCCCUUUUCCGGCAAGCCCACUUGACAGCGGAUUCAAUGGCAGCCAGGCAAAUUGUUUGAGCUCCAAACAAACAUGUGAAGGUUUUUGCCACCAUCAGCCCCAAUGGGUUUCUUCUCGGCCCUGGCAGCGGGUCCAGUCACCGGAGAGAAGAUAAUUACCAAAAUUUAAAUGCUCAUUCUUCCUUUCAGAGCUAGUCUCCAUUGUAAAAGUGCUUAUCCUGAGCCCAAAUAGUAUAGUUCACAUUGCUGGUCCAUAUUCUUGUUCAUUGCAGUUUCACCUUCAGCUUUCUCAUCAUCUGUCAUAUCUCUCGAGGAUCCACUAGUUGCUUGCCUUACUGGGAUCGCAGAUCUAUAUUGCGUUGCAGGUAACGAAAGUGAAUCAUACCCAGCUCAUUUCGAAGGGGCUUGAGAUAUGAGUUGUGAAGUACUAGAAGCGUGUGAUCCGCUGUCAGUUAACGUAACAGGUUCUUGAGCGUUCACCAACUAUCCAUUUACCUACGACAGAGCCAAGGUAGCGCAGGCGAGAUCAAGCUUGGUCUUCAAGAACGUCUGGUACUCCUCGGAAUCGACGACGACAUUAGGCGGUCGCAGGUUAAACGCCGCCGUAUUAUUGUUGCAAUGAGUUGAGUUGGAUUGGGGUGGGGGUGCUGGGAAUUGACCAUCUUGAUCUCUUUGACGUCGUCUUGGUCGGGAUCAUGAGCUGAAGAAGAAGAAGAAGGAUGCGGAGGUGGCGGCGUCAGUGAGGAGGAUGACGACGAGUGGGGAUAAGCUUCUUAAUCUGAGGGUACUAAGAGGAUCUGACAGAGCCUAGGAGCGUGAGGCUCGUCCGUGGAGGACCUGUCUGCAGCUCCCCGGUUUCGCCAUCGGGACCCCUUUUGAACUGCAUGAAAUCCGUAAUUGAAUUGUUCUGCAAAAACUGGUCGGCGGAGCCAUUCUCAAUUGGGCUGAGGGAGGAAAAACCGAAAACCUUGAAAGGAAUGAGCUUUGAGGGUCUGGAGAAUCUGAGGGUCCAUUUGGAGGAUUCGAAGGGUCUGGCUUUGAAGCUGGAGGAGGUGGAUUUACAUCGAAAUGAGUGGAGAGAGAAGCUGAGACCAUGCUUGCUUUCUCCACAGAGAAAGAGAUGAGAGAGAGGUUCUGUCUCGGUGGAUUUGCAGAUCUGGGUCCUUAUCUCCCUAAAUAUCUGGGUCCUCCUCUGCCAUUCUAUAGGUGUUUGGUUUCUUGGAUUUUGCAGAUUCACAGCAGAGGUGAGAAAAUGAAAGAGAACCGACAUAGUUUUUUGUGUCGUUUCCCACAGACGACGCCAAAUGUUAAUGCACAAAAUCGGAGGGGUCUUGGAACAACAUAAAUCUGACCGUGAAUCUACAAGAAAGUAAAGAACACAAGAUGUAUUGUGGUUCACCCCAAUGUUUGGGCCACUGAUAUUGUAUUUCUCUAUUUGUGAGAGGAUGAGAGGGUGAGAGCUUCUGAGGGUGAGAGAGCUCUUCCCAUGACCUAAGAAUUGGCCUUUUUUAAUAAGGAGAGUGAAUGGUCUUUUUAUAGAAUAAGGGCUCCUCCUUUAUUACAUAUUUGCCCCUCUAUUUAUUGCAUAAUGACAUUUGAGUCCUCCGAGUAUUUAUACGAGGUCUAAAUACGAAGGCCCUAAGUAUGGUACAAACAAGGUUUGUAACUUAUUUUUUUGCUUUUGGGUUUGUUACUUGUUUUAUUUUGGUUGCAUGUUAAUUUAACUUGGUAUGAAUGAUUGCUAUUUCAAUUUGUAUGAAAUUUGGGAAUAUCAAAUCAUCCCGAAAUACCGAAAAUAUUUCGAGAAUCCCGAAAAUUGAGAAUACCAAAAUUUUGGUUUGGUAUUGGUCUUCAAAUUUUCAUCUCGAAAAAUUUCGAUUUGGGAUUCGGGAUCCCAUUUUCAAUUUAGGAUCCCAUACCAAAUCACCCCUAGCUAUACUUACCAUAUUUUUCAUAUUACAUUUGUACCACCUCUCUCAUAGAGAUAGAGCCUAUCAACACAUGUGGUCUCAUCUCUAUGAGUAAUGGUACACUUACCACCUAAUUGUACCAUCACUCUUUAAUAGAGGUAGGGUCUGCCAACGCAUAUGGAUUCUAUCUCUAUUAGAUGAAUUUUCAAGCCUAACAUGUCAACAACACAAUAGGAUGACUUGAAGCACGUGUGACCGUUUGACUUCACACGUGAGACAACAUGCUCUGAUACCAUGAAGAAAAUUAAGGUUACAUCAUAAAAUCAAUUGACAAUAUGAAAAGUAACUCAACCUACUUAUAAGCCUAUGCAAGGUUCCUACUCCUAUCAAUGUGAGAUUCAUUCUCCACUUCCCAUACUAGAAUUUUUAUUAUCUAACAGUUAAGGCUUUAAUGUCGGAAGUUGCACCAGCUUUAGUAUACUCUUGUCGGAUUUGAUGAACCCGUUCAGUGGUUGGAGCUAAAAACAAUACUAUUGGGCCAUCUCCAGGUGCUGGAGAAAAAAUUUAAAAUGGAAAACUUAUUCGAUUAAUAUGUAACCAAUAUAUAUGAUUCAAAUCAAAGAGAUAGGAUUUGAUUAUAUCAAGGAUAACUAACAUAUAUAAUAUUCACAUAACUGGCUGGGAGUUUACAUGGACAAUUGCAGGCAUCAGAUACUCUAGCGUCUUCCGUACCCUGGUUGAGCAAUACCAAUGAGAUAACGGCCCUCCAAAGCCAUUGGCCAUGCUUAAGCUUGAAUUGGUGUAGGCCUUACAAAUCCAGCUUAAAUUCUUCUAUAUCAAGAGAAAUCAUUCUAUAAAUAUAUAUAGAUAACUUCCAACAAAGAAUAACCAUCACAUAUAUGAUAUUAUGUAAUAUAUUAUAACAAAUAAGGUUUUUUUAGCCAAAAUGGUUCAUGAGAUUUUACUAAAUCCUCACUUUAGUCCCUGAGAUUUGAAAUCAAUAGAAGUGGUCCCUGAAAUUGUCAACCAUCAAUUAUUUUGGUCAUUCGGUGAAAAAUUAUGUUAAAUAAGGAUCCAAAUAACAAAAUUACCCUCAAUAUAAUAAACAAUAGGCCAAAAUGAUUUGACAAAAAUUGAGGGUAUUUUUGUUAUUUUAUCCUUAUUUUAUGAAGAUUUUUCAAAAAGGGACCACAAUGAUUGAUUGUGGACAAACUCAUUAACGAAUUCUAUUGAUUUCAAAUCUUAAAGAUCAAAGUGAGCAAUUAUACAAAUCUCAUGAUCAUUUUGGCUGAAAAACCUAACAAAUAAUAAAGAAGAGAAGAAGAAAAGUACGUACUUGGAAACGGAGUACGACCGAAAGUCCUGGUGGGUUUUGGAACUUUACGACUCAAGGGUGUUUGGAACUUUAAAUUGGAGAAAGGAGAAGAAUGUGCUUCCUCCAGUUGAGCAUAUCAAAAGACGUAAGUAAUUCAGAUGCCCGUAUAACUUGAAAGUGAUGCCGCAAGGGUGGGGCUUGGAGAAGAUGAAACUUAAAGGAGAUUGAGAACAGUAGGAGAGUUUAGUGAAAAGAGAGAAGUUUUGAUUUGUAGUAGGUAAAUUUGGAUGCCCAUAUAAUUUGAAAGUGAUGCCUAUUAUUUUCUUCAUUAUGUUGGACCGCUAAGAAAUUGUGGCAGAUUUGCCAUAUAAAUUUUUGUAACUUUGAUGGCACCUCAAGCUUCCAAAUUUCAGCCCAAGGCUUUUGAUUUUCUCUAAGACCAUCUCCAACCCUGGGCUAAAAGCCAAAUUACCCCCCCCAAACACUGUCCAACCCAUGCUAAAAUUUUAGGCUAAAUGCCAAAUGCUAUUUCUGGGCCAAAUACCCCCCAGCUUUCCCCCCGGGCUAAAUGCGAAAUGUUUAUCGGAAUUGAAAUUUUUUUAGAUUAAAAUGUUCAUAAAAUUAAUUUACAAUAAUCUACAUAUUUAUUUUUUUUUUAAAUUGAUUUAAGAAAAAAAUUUAGGCUAAUUUCAUUCUUUAAUAAUUCCGGGCUAAAAUUUUAGGGUAGAAGGGUUGGAGCAGAAAAGAUGUUUCUGGGCUAAAAGCUAAAUUUUCCAGGCUAAAAAAUUUGGCUUUUAGCCCAAAGGUUGGAGAUGGUCUAAAAGAGCUUGUUUAGAGAGGCCGUUCAAGGCAGAAGAAUGUUAGGCAAUCUCUAUUGGAGAUGACUAAAAGGCCAUAGACUAUUCUUUAGCCCGAUUUGUUAAAAAACUCAACUUUAAUAGAGGGUUGGGUCCAAAACAAGUGGAACACAUCAGGCCAAAUGAUAACCUUUUGGCAAUCUGGCUGGCUACUUCUAGCCCCCUUACCAGCCCGUUUGUUGGGGCCCAAUCUGUCACCUUUAGACCAUCUCCAAUCUUUGGGCUAAAAGCCAAAUUUUUUAGCCCGAAAAAUUUGACUUUUAGCUCAGAAACAUCUUUUCUGCUCCAACCCUUCUGUCCUAAAAUUUUAGCCCGGAAUUAUUAAAGAAUAAACUUAGGCUAAUUUUUUUCUUAAAUCAAUUUUUAAAAAUAAAUAAAUAAAUAUGUAGAUUAUUGUAAAUUAAUUUUAUGAACAUUUUAAUCUAAAAAAAUUUAAAUUCCGAUAAACAUUUGGCAUUUAGCCCGGGGGAAAGCUGGGGGGUAUUUGGCCCAGAAAUAACAUUUGGCAUUUAGCCUAAAAUUUUAACAUGGGUUGGAGAGUGUUUGGGGGGGGGGUAAUUUGGCUUUUAGCCCAAGUUUGGAGAUGGUCUUAGCCUGCUAACAUCAGCAGCAGCGAAUAACUAACUUCAGCUUGCUGUUUAAUUUUUUUUUUCAGACGAAAUUAAAAAAAAAAUUAAUUUUUUUCCUAUAAAUACCUAUGACAUUUCUACACUAUUUCUCACAUUCUUUUUACCCGUACAUACUAUUUUACCUCAUUUUAUUCAAAACUUUCACAUUCUGUUCACCUCAAACACUCUUUUCAUACAAUUUUUAAUGUCUAAGUUGUUAACAUGCAAGUAAUAUUAAAAUAUUUAACAAAAUAUGUAACAAUACAAACAUGAAAUUUAAACAAUAUGUAACAAUACCAACAUGUAACAGUACCAAUAAGUUAAAGAACAAACUUAAAAAUAUUAAAUUAUUGAGGGGCUAUGUUUAGCCUCUUUCGGUUGGAGAUGGUAUAUAAAUAUACUUUGGCACUGUUCAUUUAAAAAUAAUAUUUUGUAGGGCUAUAAUUGUAAACGUGGCUAUACUUAGCCCUUUCGGUUGAAGAUGUCCUUAAAAAGAAAAAUGAAGUCCUUUGCCAUACGGGUAAGAUGACUUAGAUUGUGAUAUAUCAAUAGAGGAUGCAAUAUUUUUCCUCCGCUGUAUUUUUCUCAUCAGAAUAAAAGAUAAAAAGGUAAGUGUAGGUGUGAGAACGAUUAACUUGUUGAACACCGUGUUUUACAAUAGUUGUAUAUAUGGGUGUAAGCAUCAUUUUAUUUUAGGGAACUUUAACGAUUAGGGUUUAGGGUUUUACUUUAUUCUUUAUUUUAUCCUUAUCGUUAAAACUUAAAGUUUUCAAACCCUUUUCAUUAAUUUUCCUUUUAUUUUAUAGAGAAUUGAAGAGUUAGAUGUUUUCCAAAAUAAAAUAACAAUUACAGGGGUUCGAUCAUGUGCCAGGUCCAAAUGAUGAGCCUAAAUAGAACUAGACCGAAUUAAUUGAUGGGCCCGAUCCAAAUAGAUCCAGAACAACCGCGAUCAGAUCCUAAAUCGAAACCGAAACAAAAUUCUACACGGUUAUUUAAUUCGCUCAUCGUGGUGGUGAUUGGUACCAAAAUUUCGAAACCCUACCUUAAGCCAUAAGGUAUCUCGAAUAUGGUGAAGCGCUCCAAUGACCCCAAUGGGAAGCGUUCUCGGACAAGAAGAAGGUGACUCUCUCUAUCUCUCUCGCAUGGGCAAUUGGAUGUGAAUUUAAACUUGCUAAAAUUUGGGAUUGAAGAAAAACCUAAUAAUUUUGUGUUGUUUGUUUCAGACUCAGUGGGUUGAAUGCUGUUGGUGAUGGUGAUGGUGAUGGUGAUGCUGCUCAAGGCACCUCAAAAGUUAGGAAUGGGCGAGUGCAAUUGGGCACCUCAAAAUUUGCUACUCUUCUUCGAGUCAAGGAGUCUACAAGGCAACGGAAGCCGAAGCGGAGGGAAAUUACUACCUCCGUAGAGGUCCAAGAGUGUAGGCACCGGGUCAAAGAGUAUAGGCAGCUAAGGGGAAUUACUGUUUCAAGCCGCAAUGUUCCAAAACCCAUCAGGACUUUGGGUCGCACUCCGUUUCCGGGUACCUACUUUUUACUUUUUUUGUUUUCUCCUUCUUCUUGUUGUAUUAUGUGUUGGAAGCUAGCUACAUGCAUAUAUCUAUUGAAAUGAUUUCUCUUGAUCGUAGAAUAUGUUAAGGAUGAAUUUUCAAAAGCUGGAUUCGUCAGGCCUACACCAAUUCAAGCUCAAGCAUGGCCAGUGGCUUUGGAGGGCCGUGAUCUCAUUGGAAUUGCUCCACCAGGAUCCGGGAAGACGCUAGCGUAUCUAUUGCCUGCAAUUGUCCAUGUAAAAUCCCAGAAAAGACUAUGUGAGUAUUUUAUAUGUUAGUUAUCCUUAAGAUGAUCAAAUCCUGGCUCUUUGAAUCCUAUAUAUUUGGUUUAUAUUUAUCGGGAUUAAGUUUUCCAUUUUACAAUUUUUCUUCAGCUUGUGGAGAUGGCCCAAUAGUAUUGAUUUUAGCUCCAACCUGUGAGCGCGCUCGUCAAAUCCAACAAGAGUGUACUAAAUUUGCUGCAGCACACAUUUUCGCCUUACUCGGCGGUGAACUGGAUUGUUAUAAAAAUUCUCUUGUGGCAUGUGGUAGGUGGUGGUGCUGGUGAUGAACUACGUUUGACAUUGUAUUCUUAUUAUUGUGCUACUGCUAUGCUAUUUCAUUUAUCGGAUAUUAUCUACCUUGAUAUUCUGUUGUAGGCAUUGGUUAUAGUAACAUGACUCAUAAUCGAUUUUGUGUAGGCCGGUGACUUUAAGGAGGACUUCUUGUUUGAGUAUAUAGUUAUUCUUCUUAUUGAUUGCAAUUAAUAUUUUGGCUCAGGAGUUGGAAUUUUAAUUGACACACCUGAGGCCGUGCUUCAUGCGUUAGAGUCAUGUCAUACAAACUUGCAAAGGGUCACAUACCUUGUGGUGGAUGGUGCUGAUUGGAUGCUAGCAGAAGAAGGCGUAGCAGAAGAAGGCGAGGACUGUAAGUCUCUAGUACAAGAAGUUCUUUCUCAGGUUUGAGAUAUUACUCCUACUUGGCUCUUCAUACUUGCGGUGUUAUUUCUUAAAUGUUGAACUCUUUAGCAUUUUUAAAUCCCCUCACUCACACCCACACAAUGUGUGUGUGUGUUUAUAUCUCAGAGUUUAUAUUCGGUUGAAAAUUGUAUUUUGGGUUUUCUGUAUACAGAUUCCCCCAGACUGUCAAAAAUUGUUCUGGGGUAGUAGCUGGCCGGAGGAGGCUGAUGAACUUGCCAGGCCAUUCCUUCGCGAUGCAAUCAAAGUAAUAGAUCUCUUACUCUUUGUUUUUUGUUUUUUUUUUUUGGCAUCACUUAGUCAUUUUUAAUUGUUGUAACAGGAUAUUAUUAGUAGUCACAAAAUGUCUUCUAUCUUGGGAUGGCAAUAGUUAGUGCUCUUGACAUAUUUUUUGGGUUGUAAUACUCAAUACUUGUUAUGAAAUUUAUCUUUGGAUGUUGAACAGGUUGAAAUAGGUUCUCCAGUUCUGAAAGCUACACAUCCAAUAGUCCAAAUUGUUGACAUCGUUGCUGAAGAUCAGAAAUAUGACAAGUUGGGAACAUUCUAAUGGUUGAUCUUGUGCAGUUAGUUUGAGGUUAUAUCUACAUUUGUGAUUUGUUUCAAAUUUUCAGAUUGGUAGGCUUGCUAGGUGAUAUCGCAGAUGGCAGCAGAAUACUGAUAUUCAUGAAUAUAAAGAAUGGAUGUGAAUCAUGUAGUCUCCUCUCUCAGAAGCUUUCCAAUGAAGGUUACGCAGUCUCGGUUCAUGAAAACGUAAGUCAAUCGGAAAGGGUCCAAAUUAUCUCUGGGUUAAAAGGUGGCUAUGUCCCCAUAAUGAUUGCAACUGAUGUUGCUGCUUGUGAUCCAGGUAUCAAUAGAAUUUCUUUUAGUUUAUGAAAUGCUUGAAAGAAGUUUUUUCGCUUGUGCUUAAAGAGUUGCAUCUCUUUUUACUAUUAUAAUUUUAUUAUUGCUAUUAUAAUAUUAUUUAGAAAGAAAUAUCUUCUUCAAUCUCCUCACAGUUGAAAGCUUUAUUUAAUUUACUAGUCGACAUCCCCCUUGCCAAAAUCUUGCCCUUUUAGUAACCUAGGGUUUGUUUGGUUACUGUGGGAGUGUAGGUUUGUCAACCUGGCAAUUUUUGUUGAGUGCAUUUAACCCGUGAACUGGCCCGAAGCCUUGUUUCUAAUCACUUUGUUUCAUGCUUAAUUUGCAGUUCUGAAGAAUGUGAAAUAUGUUAUCAAUUACGACUUUCCGGGAUCCAUUGAUGAUUAUGUUUACCGCAUUAUCCUUGCUGAGCCAAAAGGAACAGCAUACACGUUCUUUACAACUGCUAAUGCUAGGUGCGCAAAGGAACUUACCAUCUUACUCGAGGAAGCUGGACAGAAGGUUAGUCCUGAAUUGGAAGCACUGGCGCGUGAUGUACGAUAUCCAGGUGAGUAACUUUAAACACUGGAUUAAAUAAUGUUGUAUACUAUGCACACGUGAUGCUAGACCUUUCAGGUCGUUGGUAUGGAAUGUUGGAUGUCUUUUUUGAUGAAAAGAGCACAUUGUCACGUCCUAACUUCUCCCUGUGUACCAGCUGCUGUCGUAUGAUUUCGUAGGGUUUUAUAUAAAUAUUCGAGCUUUGAUCUGAUUACUUAUCUGGCCGCCAUUCAUUCUUUUAAGCCUAAAACUAGUUUUGCUCCCCUACUUCAAAUAUUGACCUGACGAAGUUCACAGUUUAUUCUUCUGUGUGGUCUAUGGUUUGCGUAUGAUGCGAAUGUAUGGUUACUCUUUGACCUCCAGUUAUUUAUAUUUUUUUUUUGGGUAUGAAAGUACUAUUGCCGGUCCCAAGCCCGGAUAAAGGAGGAGGGGGAGGGCGUCAGGUAGUCGACAGCCGGCACUCCAUGACCACGUCGAAUCCUUAUGAAAAUGAAUCCAUAACAAAAUCGCGCUAAAGCUAGGGCGUCACCCGUAAGUGGCGCGCUGUGUGGCCCGAGCAUAGUGAUAAGUGAGCAAGGGUCGCUGUAUCUCCAUCGGCACCUGGAUGCAGUGUUAAAUGAGCAAGGGGGCCGUAGAAACUUCUUUUCGAACGACUCCACUCAAAGUUGUUUGGGAGCAUAUGCUCCUAUCAACUUUACACGGGACACACAAAAGAAGUACUUUGAUCCUAUUAGACGGGGGAGGGUGAAGAAGCUAGGACAGAAGGGUAGAGUUCAAGAGAGCAAAAUGCGUUUAGGAACGUGGAAUAUAGGAACCUUAACGGGAAAAUCUAUGGAAGUAGUGGAAGUUAUGGUGAGGAGAAGGAUAAAUAUUAUGUGCCUACAAGAAACUAAGUGGGUUGGUAGCAAGGCAAAGGAUCUAGAAAACUCAGGGUUUAAACUUUGGUAUUCGGGCACAAAUAGAACGAGAAAACGGUGUUUGGCAUCAUCGUGGACAAGACCUUGACACAAGAUGUUGUAGAUGUCAAGAGGGUAGGAGAUAGAAUCAUGGCAAUCAAGAUUGUAAUAGGACAAGAACUUAUCAAUGUGAUUAGUGCGUACGCACCUCAAGUAUGGUUGGAUACGAGUUCGAAGGAGAAAUUUUGGGAAGACCUUGGAGACUUGGUGCAAGGAAUUGCUCAGACGGAGAAGUUAUUUAUAGGAGGAGAUUUAAAUGGACACAUGGGCAGGGAGACAGGCAACUAUGGAGGUUUUCAUGGUGGCCAUGGUUUUUGGGGAGAGAAACGAGGAUGGGGAAGCUAUCUUGGAUUUUGCAAUGGCAUAUGAUCUCUUCUUAGCCAACACCUUCUUUAAGAAGAGAGAAGAACAUGUGAUCACCUACAAGAGUGGGUCGUCAAAAACACAAAUAGAUUUUCUUCUAAUGAGGAAAGGGGAUCGUAUAACUUGUAAGGAUUGCAAAGUUAUACCAGGAGAGAGCGUGGCUAAUCAACAUCGCUUGUUGGUGAUGGAUGUACAUAUCAAAAGAGUGAGGCAAAAAGAACAAGACUUGGAAGUGCCCAAGGACUAGAUGGUGGAAUCUAAAAGAAGAAAAACAAGCCAUUUUCAAAGAGAAGGUAAUCACCCAAUGUGUGUGGGAUAGAGAGGGGGAAGCUAGCCAAAUGUGGGAUUCCAUGGCUAGUUGUAUCCGAAAAGUAGCAAAAGAGGUAUUAGGAGAGUCCAAGGGCUUUGCCCCACACCAAAAGGAAUCUUGGUGGUGGAAUGAGGAGGUACAAACAAAGGUGAAGGCUAAGAAGGAAUGUUGUAAAGCCUUAUACAAGGAGAGGACCGAUGAAAAUGGUGAAAGGUAUAGAAAAGCGAAGCAAGAGGCGAAGAAAGCUGUCAGAGAAGCUAAGUUAGCGGCUUACGACGAUAUGUAUAAACGACUAGAUACCAAAGAAUGAGAGUUGGAUAUCUAUAAACUAGCUAGAGCAAGGGAAAAGAAGACAAGGGACCUAAACCAAGUGAGGUGCAUCAAGGAUGAGGAUGGAAAGGUUCUUGCUAUAGAGAACGCGGUUAAAGAUAGAUGGAGAGGUUAUUUUCAUAAUCUUUUCAAUGAAGGACAUGAAAGGAGUUCUUCUUUAGGGGAGUUGAGUAACUCAAAAGAGUGUAGAAACUACUCUUUUUAUCGUCGAAUCCGGAAGGAAGAAGUGGUUGUAGCUUUGAAGAAGAUGAAGCAUAGAAAAGCAAUAGGCCCAGACGAUAUACCAAUCGAAGUGUGGAAAGUUUUGGGAGAUACAUGUAUAACAUGGCUCACUGACCUUUUCAAUAGGAUUUUGAAAACGAAGAAGAUGCCAAAUGAGUGGCGAACGAGCACUUUGGUGCCUAUCUACAAGAAUAAGGGCGACGUACAAAAUUGCAUGAACUAUAGGGGUAUUAAGUUAAUGAGUCAUACAAUGAAGCUCUGGGAGAGAGUCAUUGAGCAUAGAUUGAGGCAAGAGACACGGGUUUCGGACAACCAAUUCGGGUUCAUGCCAGGGCGCUCAACCAUGGAGGCAAUCUAUCUCUUACGAAGAUUGAUGGAAAGAUAUAGAGAUGGGAAAAAGGAUUUACACAUGGUCUUUAUAGAUUUGGAAAAAGCGUAUGAUAGGGUCCCAAGAGACAUUCUUUGGAGGAUUUUAGAGAAGAAAGGAGUACGAGUAGCUAUAUCCAAGCUAUAAAGGAUAUGUAUGAAGGAGCAAAGACUGCCGUAAGAACUCAUGAAGGACAAACCGAAAGCUUUCCCAUAACUGUAGGAUUACAUCAAGGCUCAUCCUUAAGUCCUUACCUUUUUUGCGUUGGUAAUGGAUGAGUUAACAGGACAUAUUCAAGAUGAUAUUCCUUGGUGUAUGCUUUUCGCAGAUGAUAUAGUGUUGAUAGAUGAAACUCAGGAAGGGGUAAAUGCAAAGCUUAACCUUUGGAGAGAAGUGUUGGAAUCUAAAGGUCUUCGCCUAAGCCGAUCAAAGACAGAAUAUAUGGAGUGCAAGUUCAGUGCAAAUGGAGGCCAAAACGAGUUAGGGGUGAGGAUCGGAGAUCAAGAAAUACCAAAGAGCGACCGUUUUCGUUACCUAGGAUCUAUCUUGCAAAAGAACGGAGAAUUAGAUGGAGAUCUCAACCAUAGAAUACAAGCUGGAUGGAUGAAGUGGAAGAGUGCAUCUGGCGUGUUGUGUGACCGCCGUAUGCCACUGAAGCUCAAGGGAAAAUUUUAUAGGACGGCAAUAAGGCCGGCGAUGCUGUAUGGCACAGAAUGUUGGGCGGUGAAGCAUCAACACGUACACAAAAUGGGUGUAGCGGAGAUGAGGAUGCUUCGUUGGAUGUGUGGGCACACGAGAAAGGAUAAGAUUAGGAAUGAGGAUAUCCAGGGUAAAGUAGGAGUAGCCGAAAUUGAAGGAAAAAUGAGAGAAAAUCGGUUACGGUGGUUUGGACAUGUGCAAAGAAGGCCUACUGACGCUCCGAUUAGAAGAUGCGACUAUGGGACAGAGGUUCAGGGCCGAAGGGGUAGAGGAAGACCUAGGAAAACUUUGGAAGAGACUCUAAGAAAAGACUUAGAGUACUUGGAUCUAACGAAGGACAUGACACAGGACCGAGCACAAUGGCGUUCUAAGAUUCAUAUAGCCGAUCCCAUUCAGUGACUUGGAUUUUCCAAGUCUCCAACCGAGAAGUUUUCCUCACUCGGAAAAUUAAGGGAACACUACCCCAACCUACAUGCUCCACUCAGAAAGCUUCAACAUACAAGCUUCAACAAAAGAAAAUUCAAAGAACUUAGCGAAGAAGGCUUUGGUGUAUUUAACACAAUACGUUGAAAUGAAGGAAAGCUUAUUUAUUGAUAUCCCCGAUAAGCUACAAAUAUGUACAUAUACAUGAGUCAAAAAUAAACAAACAAGAUGGAGCCUUCACAAAGGUUGCUUAGGAGAAGUCUCAGCAGUCGGUAGAGCCCCAGAAAGAGAAGGCAUCGGAGGGGGAUCAUUCGGAGCCUCAGUACUGGACAGAACCCUAGAAGGAGGAGGCAUCAGAGGUUGAUCAUUUGGAGCUUCAUUACGCGGUACAGCCCCAGAAGACGAAGGCAAUAAAUGCCCUUGGAACAAACCCACAAAUCUCUGAUGAUCAAGUAAAACCUGACCAUCAGUUUCCUUCAUCUGGUCAAGCUUCCUCUUCAUGUUUGUAGCAUAGUCAUGUGCGAGCCGGUGCAACUGUUUAUUCUCAUGCUUUAGCCCUCUAAUCUCCUGUUUGAGACUCAUCACUUCGGCCGCCAAUGAUUCAACUUGGCGGGUUCGAGCAAAUAGGCGUUGGGCCAUAUUAGACACAGAACCUGCACACUGAACACUGAGAGCCAGCGAAUCCUUAACAGCUAACUCAUCAGACCGUUUGGAAAGUUGUCUGUUAUCUUUGGGAGUGAGAAGGUUCCUGGCCACCACCGCAGCGGUCAUAUCAUUCUUCAUCACAGAAUCCCCAACGGUAAGAGGACCAGUAGAGGAGACGAAGGAUGGGCGCCAUAUGUUGUCUGGAGAAGGCGGGGCUGCCUCUUCAACAAGGUUCAAGUCAAAACGACGGUCGGAGGGGCCAGACAUUUUCAAAGGUGUUGAAGAGAGAAGAGGUCGGACAAAUCAAGAUCUUAGAAGUGCAAGAAUAGAGCUUCUACUGGUGGAGAUUCAAGUGUGCUUUGGAACUUAAUGCCAGCCCCUAUAAAAAGCUGCACUCGACGGAGCUUCAGACAUCGAAGAUGCGCCUGCUUAGAAAUCGAAGAGGCGUUUGCUCUCAAAAGCUGGACUGCUUAGAGACCACGAGGGUUGAUCUCAUAAAUCGAAGAGGUGUUUGCUUUCUCAAAAGUUGGGAUGCUCAAAGACCACGAAAGCCGAUCUCAGAAAUCGAAGAGGCGCUCGCUUUCUCAAAAGCUGGGCUCCUCAGAGACCACGAGGGCCGAUCUCAGAAAUCGAAGAGGCACCUACUUUUCUAGCCUUGUCAGCACCUGUCACACGCACACUCAGCUUUGCGGAAAUUAUGGGCAUUCUGUCGAAGACUUCUGGUGAAGUAGAAAGCACAUGAAUCUUACUGUUCAAUCACCCAUUUCCCACACGCAACAAUAGCUCAUGGGUACCACAGAUAACUUUGCCAAAGUCUCUGCCAAAGUUGAGCAUGUGAAGCUUGCAGCUCUCACUACAUCGCUCUGACCAAGAAAGGUAAAAGAAUAGCAAAGAAACAGCACUAACAAAGUUUAGACACAUAAAUUUUGAAGGUCUAGCUACCAUAUUAUUACCCAUAAGGGUAAAGGAACAGUACCACUGCUGGAUAAUUGGAAAGUCCCUGUGUGUCAACCUCCGUGCUUCGUGGCAAGGUAGACUAGCAAACAUGCCCAACCUUUACUCACAUCCGAGAAAACACUCCCAACAAGAUUGCUUGCUCCAAAAUCGAAGAGGCACCGCCCUCCGAAUCUCGAGAGCCAGACUCCCAACAUGAUUACUUUCUCAAAAAUCGAAGAGACACUGCUCCCCGAAUCUCGAGAGCUAGACCCCCAACAUGAUUGCUUUCUCAAAAAUCGAAGAAGCAUUGUUCUCCGAAUCUCGAGAGCCAGUUACCACAUACCACUUUUUCAAAGUGCUAUGACAGAGUUAAAACAUGUGAAGCUGGCAGCUCCCACUACCGUGCUAUGACCAAGCAGGGUAAAGGAAUAGCAUUACUACUUGUUGUUAGGGAGACUCCUAUAUAUGUCGACCUCCAUCCCCAACGGACAGGCAGACCUGCAAAAAUGCUCAACCCUUCCUUAUAUCUGAGAGGGCACUCCCAACGAAGCCUUUCGAAAUAUUCAGUUUUCUUUCCCCCCGAUAAUACCUCUGCAAACAAGCUAUACUAGGGCAAGAAUAUCUCAUAUCAUCAGGGUUAAAAGCAAGAGUAUCCCAUAUCAUGCUUUUUCCCUGUCUUUUCCUUUGGCCUUGUUUUUACCUGCAAGACAAGGAGAAAGAAAGCAAUCAGUCAGCACUUGAAAUCAAGUUCCCAGCCAGGAACUGACUGCCUGGAACCCCUUACCUGAUUACUUACCUGGCAUUGCUCUCGAGUACUCAUCUUCAACAUCUUAUGUUUCCAGGGAAGAUACCGCAUCUGCUUGAGGAACAGAUAGGGCAAGUGCGAAGGAUACAAGGAAGCAUGUGGAGACAAGCGUAACAGCACACGUGCCGAUACAUCCAUUACUCUGUCAAAAGCAAAAGUAUCCCAUAUCAGCAGGGUGGAACGUACUCUAGAUUUGAUGGACUUGUUUUGACCCUCAAAUUAUUCAGUCGGCCUUAUACUCUGGAGGAAACCAGAAAACCCUCUAGCUCAGUUCAAGAAUAAGCCUAUGGAAAGUUACUUCUUCAAAAGCAAAAGUAUCCCAUAUCAUCUCUUCUCAUUUUUCUUCUCUUUAUCCUUCAUGCUGCUGCAAGAUGGGGAGAAGGUGAACAAUCAGCCGGAGCUCUGAUUGCUUACCUUGUCUGUCACCUCUCUUUCAGCAGAUCCCCUAGCUCGGCGACUUGGGGGACUCCUACUACAUGGUUUUGUAUCGCGCUUGACCAAGCCUGAAACUACAUGUAAGCUUCAAGUGAAAUUGAUACAUUACCUUGUGCAUCUCCAUCAGUUAAAGAUACCACCCCUGGAUGGAGGAAGAGUACUUCCAGAGAAGCUGCCACAUCUACCUAUGAGACAGAUAAGGCAAGUCAAGAUGAUACCACACUCCGAUACUUAGAAGUUUCGUGAUUACGAGAUCAUUCUCCCACAAUAUUUCCUAAUGUCAUUUGUACUCUAAUGUCAUUUGUACUAAAUCAUUCACUUGUACUCACUAAAGGAGAGCUUGAACCUAUGUACUUGUGUAAACCCUUUACAAUUAAUGAGAACUCUUCUAUUCCGUGGACGUAGCCAAUUUGGGUGAACCACGUACAUCUUGUGUUUGCUUUCCUAUCUCUAUCCAUUUAUAUACUUAUCCACACUAAUGACCGGAGCAAUCUAGCGAAGAUCACAAAAAGCGACCGUUUUCGCUACCUAGGAUCUAUCUUGCAAGAGAACGGAGAAUUAGAUGGAGAUCUCAACCAUAGAAUACGAGCUGGAUGGAUGAAGUGUAAGAGUGCAUCCGGCGUGUUGUGUGACCGUAGUAAGCCACUGAAGCUCAAGGGAAAAUUUUAUAGGACGGCAAUAAGGCCAGCGAUGUUGUAUGGCACAGAAUGUUGGGCGGUGAAACAUCAACACGUACACAAAAUGGGUGUAGCGGAGAUGAGGAUGCUUCGUGGGAUGUGUGGGCACACGAGAAAUGAUAAGAUUGAGAAUGAGGAUAUCCGAGGUAAAGUAGGAGUAGCCGAAAUUGAAGGAAAGAUGAGAGAAAAUCGGUUCCGGUGAUUUGGACAUGUGCAAAGAAGGCCGACUGACUCUCCGGUUCGAAGAUGUGACUACGGGACAGAGGUUCAGGGCCGAAGGGGUAGAGGAAGACCUAGGAAAACUUUGGAAGAGACUCUAAGAAAAGGCUUAGAGUACUUGGAUCUAACGGAGGACAUGACACAAAACCGAGCGCAAUGGCGUUCUAGGAUUCAUCUAGCCAACCCCACUUAGUGGGAAAAGGCUUUGUUGUUGUUGUUGUUGUUGUUGUAUGAAAGUACUAUUGGAAUUCACUUCUUUUUUGGAUUUAUGAUAUGGCUGCCAACUGAUGUCUUCCAGCUAGCUGCAGGGCUGGAAUGCCUCUCGGAAUAGGAAGCAAUUUGAUUGGGAAGGUAUAUAAGAAUGUGUGUGCGCUACUGCGCUUCAGCUUUAGUACCUAACUUUGCAUUUGCAUAUAAGACCACUAGAUAAGGGCGUGCACCAUCUGUUUAUUACCCUUUCUUUGUGGCAAAUAGAAUUCAAAAUUCAACCGCUGCUGUCAUACACAUGUAGUGCACAACACAUUUGCAUAUAGGACCAAAAUUAAGGGUUGUAUACUGCUAAAUUUGUUCCUCUUGCCUUUAUUUAAACAGGGUACAGUCGGGUAUUACGCUACAAUAUAUCGGCAUUGUCCCGAGAUGAAAAGUUAUGCCACUUUCACUGUGAACACAGUCAACAAAAAAAAGGUUAAAACUGAUAAACUCAGAUUCGAAUUUGUAAAAGCUGAUGGUCUACUUCUUACGUUAGCAUGUUCUGUUUUACCGAGUAAUCUUUAAUGGCGUACUUGUCUAAGUAUAAUGUUCUGCAUGGCUUCCUUUUUAGAAACUUCAACUGCAUUUUGUGAGACUGGUGGAGGCAUACGAAUACUUUUCCUGCCUUCCUAUUAGAGUAAUUUAUCUAACUAUUGAGGCCGUUGAUGGCCCGGCUUGUGAAAUGAAUGCUUAUGGAGCAAUAGUUGUGAAAUGGGGGAUUACUCGGGAAGUGAAAACCGUAUAUUUUGGUAGUGUUAAACCCAGUGGUCGUAUGUCAGCACUUUUCGACAUCAGAAAGAAAAUUGGUUACAGAGGUAACCAUCUGUCUGAAGCAGUCAAAAACACAUAUGGCUGUCUGAACUUUGGAAUUCAGUGAUAGAUGGGGUUCUUAAUUAUCGUGCAUUUCACUUGUCCCAGUCUAUAAUAUCUGGCCAGAAAGCAGCAGAAAGCUUGACGAGUUCCCUAGUCUCGCUGACGAUGACUAUAUGAGGUAAAUUUGAUGUUUUAUUAUGUUUGGGAUUUUAUUUCUGAAACUUUAUUUGCAGCAAAGAAACCCUAAAAACAGGGACUUGCGUGUCAAUUCCAUACCCUAAACUUGAGUGCAUUGAUGGAUAUAUUUCAUAACUUAAAUUGGUUACAGGCAAAGAAAAAGAAAAGGAGCCCGCCGCGUGGCUACUGCUUAGGGCAUACUCGGAAUGGAUGGAGUAUAUUUUGAACAAUACGGUUGUGUUUGGAUUUACUUGGUUUGGGGGGCACGUCCUACAUUCCUGUAAUCUGUUGGUGAAAGUCACACUUACUUUGUUAAGUUUACGUGCGGAAUUUUUUGUAUAAAUUUGCAGAAAUUAGUCAGGAAAUUUCCAUAUUAAUUGCAGGCUUAAUUAUCCUCAAGAGAAAUCGACGAAGAUGAACACGCCAUUAACAAGCAAUGAUUUCGCACAAUCUUUUGGAUGCCUGAUUGACACACACAACACUAGUCAGACAAUCACUAACACAAACUGAUGAGGUUUCUACCUCUACCACCUUAAUGGUUUUGAGUCCUUGGUGAUAAGCAAAGUUGUGUAUUACUUCGAUUUACGUGAUAUGUAUUUUGUCACUGAAAUUUAGAAUUCAGUAGAGGAUCCGACAUUAAACCCAAUAGAGCUUGUUUCCCGUUUCUUUUUCUUCGAAAUUCCCAUUCUGCUGCAUCUCCAUAGCUACCUCACAACCAAAAAUUUACUGAGUGGUAGACCCAAAAUGACCUUAGUUUCUUCCAGCUGAAACAGUUGUUGCAUGGGAACUUCAGGAUUCACAGUUUGAACUCUAAAUGUCCUUAGGAUUGGUAGCCAAGGAUCAUCUCACACUCGCACCAUCUCUCCAAUGCAAACCAGCCUUCAAAACUUGUCGUGCUUGUAUAAUACCCUUUCAACCCCACGACGAUUUCCUCCUAAACUAACAUUCAUAAAUUCCGUAUUCGGGAAGUAAUUAUCUUUUUACACUCGAGCCAGCAGUGAAUCAGGACAUUUAAUCAAAUCUCCAUCCAAGUUUAGCAACCAAGGCAAGAUUAAAAUGCAUGAUAUAUUGGAAUCCCAAUCCCUAUGGUUGAAAAGGUUGCCUACCACGGCCAAGGUUGAUAUUUACAGCUACGGGAUUUUGUUGUUAGAGAUUAUUUUCUGCAGGAAGCAUUCGAGGCAGCGGCAGAGGAUGAAGGUCAAAUGAUACGAGUUGAUUGGGUGUACGAUUGUUAAAAGCAGAAUAAGUUGCAUCAGCUAUGCAAGAAUAACGAUGAGGCAAUGCUUGACAUGAAGAUGGUGGAGAAGUAUGUGAUGAUAGCAAUUUGGUGCAUUCAGAAGGAUCCAUCGUUUAGACCUACCAUGAAGACAGUCACAUUGAUGCUCGAAGGAGCCGUUGAAGUCUCAGCUCCACCCGGUCCAUCUUCUUUCAUAAGUUCAAUACUUUUAAGUUCUUCCAAUUAUAAUCCAUUUCUUAUGUAUAUCAGAAGUUUCUGUAUUUUGAUUUCAAAUACUCUUCAGCUCUUAAUGUACUAUGUAGUAUUGAGUGUACGAUAAUUCUCUUAAAAUGUCUGAAUAAAUAGAGGAAUUAUCAAUGGUAUAAAACCUGGUCUGUCAUUUUCCAUGUCCGAAUAAAUAGAGGAAUUAUCAAUUGGAGGAACCUUAACGAUCUUCAUGGUAUCAGAGUAGGUUGGCCUACGUGUAAAGCCUAAGGGAUGCAUGUGCUCGACGGCACCUAAUUUGUGUUGUCCACAUUUAUGGCUUGAAAAUUCGUCAUACGUGAGGUGACGUGUGAGAUAGUGAAGGUAAAAGAGUCUCGUAUCGGUGAAAUGUAGUUUAAAAGAGGUUGACAUGAAUCGUUAGAUACAUGGGAUACUACUACUUCAGUUUCGCAGCUUAUCCGAGUUUUAUUUACCCGGUGCACCAUUCUCACAGUGCAGUACUAGUUUUAUAGGUUGACAGGAAUCGUUAGAUAUGUGGGGCUUCAAUUGUAGUUGUGUUAGCGUUGUGCAUCUAUAGUGACUAGGUUCCUUGCCUUUAUUUACCUUUCAUUUCAGUACUUCACUUUGCAAGUAGAGUGACUAGGUUCCUUGCCUAUAUUCAACUUUCUAGACAGGAAAGUAAAGAAAAUUUAUAAAUUUCCCAAGCAUGUUUUCACUUUUGUUGUUGUGUUGCUUUAAAGGAAAUUAACUUGGAUGGCAAAUGUAUGCUAUUGAAUGCGCAAAUAUGAUGGAAUAUCAACGGUCUUGUACAAUUAUUUUUUCAACAAAAAUUAUGAAUGACGAUCUGAAUUAUGAACUACAAAGUUCAAGAUUUUGAGUUUUCGAUGAUCAAAUAACAAAGAAACAACCACUUAAACUAUUGAACUAAAAAAUGACGACGGAUUAGGUGGAACUGAGACUUCAACAGUUCCUUCAAGCAUCUGUGUGACUUUCUUCAUCGUCGGUCUCAGCGACGGGUCCUCCUGAAUGCACCACAUUGCGAUCAUCACGUAGUUCUCCAUCAUCUUGACGUGUUCCAUCGCUUCGUCGUCCUUCUCCAAUAGCAAAGGCAGCUCCUUUUGCAUAUAGCAAUCAUAUGCGCAAUAAGCUAGUAUCAGCUGAUCUACAUCAUCCGUAUGUUCUUCAAAAUUCUUCCUGCAACAAAUAAUUUCUAGUAACAAAAUGCCAUAGCUGUAAACAUCCACCUUCACUGUGAUAGGCAUGUUUUUGAACCAUUCAGGGGCUACAUAACCUUUGGUUCCCCUGAUUUGAGUAGUAGUUCGAGUUUGGUCCGUUCCCAAAAGCUUGGCCAAUCCAAAGUCAGAAUUUUUUGCAGUGAAAGAGUCGUCUAGAAGAAUGUUUUGAGGCUUAAUGUCACAAUGUAUGAUUUGGCUUAAUGUUUUGAGCGCUAUUAAACAUUAUAUUUUAGUGUAUAUAAUUUCUUUUUAAAUAAGAAUUUCUUUCCCGUUGUUGAUGAGUCACCUAUUCUAUUACAUAGGUCAUCAAACACCUUUUUUUUUUUCAAAAAUUCAAAAUCAGCCUUUAACCCCAAGUAUUUCCCAAGGCCGCACUUUGCUUAUAUUCCCAGAAUAACAGAGAGCUUCUUUUAUUUAGCCACAUGUACAUUUAUGGAGAACUGACAUUUUUUUGUUGCUUUGUCACAAAUAUAUAUGAUAUAUUUCUAAUUUUCGACAAGUUCAUUAAUAAACUUUUAAGAAACAUUUUAUUCUGCUAAUAAUAACUUUAACUCAAUCGAUUCUUAACCAAAUUCGACCCAUAAUAUAUCAAAAUGAAGAUAAGAAAGUGUUGAACAAGAUUAUACCUAUUUGGAAACUCAAUGAUUGCUGGAGAUGGCCUGAAAGGUGAUUGGUCCACGGGAAAACUGGAAAACUCGCCAGAAACUGGGUAAACUUUAAACGUUCAUAACUUCUGCAAUACUCAACCAAAUCGAGUGAUUCAAAACGAAAAUCAUACUUCUCGACGAGAAGAAGAUAAUGGUAUCUUUCUUGACUGCUAAAUCGCCAUGGUUUGGCCAAAAAACUACUCGAAAGUGGCUUACUCGAAAAUGGUUAGCCACUUUCGAGCCGUUGUGCGACCAAACCACGGCGAGUUAGCCUGCGAAAAGGGUACCAUUCUCUUUGUCUCGUCAAAAAAUAAGGGUGCGUGACUUUGUGGCACCCCCAAGAAUUUGUACAUUUUUGUUAAUUUUUCUUUUAUUUCUCUUACCACUACAACAACUAGCAUAUUCAUGUUCUUCAAAGUAUAUUUUUCCGUGCAAAAUUUAUUAUAAUUCGUAUUUAAACACUUGUAAUCAACAAUUUAAAACCAAAGUUUAAUGACAUUUGAACCCUUUUUUUUUAAUUUUUCUUUUAUCUAAAUCUAAACUACAUAUUAAUAGAACCCUAUUUGUCAACCAAAAGAGGGUGAAACACUAUUUAGCAAAACAAACUUUUGCCACUUUUUGUUUAACCCUUACCUACAUGUGAUUUUUAAAGAUAUACACUAAAUAUACAUUUUAACAUCUCUAUAUUUUUCACUUAUUUUUUUAUCUUUUCGGGUUAAAUAUUAUACUAAAUAUACAUUUGUUGCUCAAUAAAUCGUAGAUCUGCUUCCAAAGACAUUAUAGAGGUUUCCUCAAUGCUCAUGGAAAAUAUCUUGAGAAAAUAAAAAAUUUGUAUUUUUUACAAAAAACGUGAAUCUCACGGUUUUCAGUAUGAUUUGCAAAUUCGUACAUAAAUCACCGUUCAAUCUAUUUAUUUUCACCUUCGCCUCAUUGUGAAGUUUUGAAAAUUAAGGUGAGACUUUCCGUUGAGAUUCUUGAGUGUAUUACCCCAUUUGACAAUAUUCUGGGCCUCACUACUAUGUUUUCCACUUUUUUUUUAGUUUUCGGCUUAAAUAUUCUACUAAAUAUACAUUUGUUGCUCAAUAAACUGUAAAAUUGCUUCCAAAUUCCUUAAAAAGUUAAACUUAAUGCUUAGGAAAAAUAUUUUGCAAAAAUAAAAAACUUGCAUUUUUUUUCAAAACACAUGGGUGUGAGGGCUUGACGCAUGCAAAACGAGGCAAACCAUGGCAUGCGAAACAAGACAGGCUCUGCUCAUAGAAAACGGGGUGUGUUUCUGGCAUGCAAAACGAGGUGAUCUUCGCGCACAAAAAACAACACUGGAUACGCCGCACAAAUCGAAGCUAGCCAUGUGCAUGGAAAACGAAGUUGGCUCUGUGCACGCCAAAACGACGCGGGCUCCAUAGACGCAAAAAUAGGCGUGCUUCUGGCACGUAAAACGAUGUGGACACCUCACAUGCAGAACAAGGCGAACCCAAGCACACAAGACGAAGGGGUUCUGGGCACGCAGAAUGAGGCAAACUCCCGAGUACUAAGAAAAUGAGUCGGACUCCACGCACGGAAUAAUAUAUUUUGAAGAACAUUAAUAUGAUAGUUUAUUGCAUAGUUAUAAAAGAAAUAAAAGAAAAAAGUAUAAAAAUGAUUCAACUUCUUGAUGGUAACUUUCUGGCACCUCAAGAAUGUAUACAUUUUUGUUAAUUUUUCUUUUAUUUCAGCUAAUUGCGUCUUUUUCUGCGGCUUGUGCGGCUGCACAUGAUUUCAUUUUGCGGGAUUACCUUGAUCCCAGAAUCAGGUGGGUUAGAUUUUAGUUCACCUCAGGAGCUGCGAUCUAGGAAACCUUCCACGUCAAAGAGUCAAAUUAAAACUUGUAAAAACAUACAAAGUACAUUUGCCUUUUCGACUUCAUAGUUGAUGACGAUUUCUUCCUUCAUUAUACUUUUUCAUCAACAGAAAAGAUAAAAGGGUAAGUGCAGGUGUACGUGUGAGAAAGAUUAACUUAAUAACACCCUAGUAAGUGUUUUACGAUAAUUAUAUACAUAUGAGUAUAAGUGUUGUUGAUGCACAAAAUCAGUGAGGACUUUGGUACAACAAAAAGUGUCAAGUUUGUGACAUUCGCUAGAUUGCUCCGGUUAUUAGUGUGGAUAAGUAUGUAAAUGAAUAGAGACAUGGAAGCAAACAGAAGAUGUACGUUCACCCAGAUUGGCUACGUCCACGGAGUAGAGGAGUUCUCAUUAAUUGUGAAGGGUUUACAUAAGUACAUAGGUUCAAGCUCUCCUUUAGUGAGUAUUAGUGAAUUAUUUAGUACAAAUGACAUUAGAAAAUAUUGUGGGACAAUGAUCUCGUUUUAUAGAAGAGAGUUUCUAGCUUUGUUCUGACAUUGACACGUGUCGUGUUGUGAUUGGCUUCUGAUGUUGACAUGUGUCGUGCUAUGAUUGGCUUCUGAUGUCGACACGCGUCGCGCUGUGAUUGGCCUCCUGGUUGGAGGGAAACUCUUCUGGGUCCUUGACGGUAUAACGUUAACCGAUACUUGGUAGUUUCAGGAUUGGUCAAGUAUGGUACAAACAGUGCUCCUCUAAGUUCCCGAGUGAGGGAAGCUCCUCGGUUGGGGACUUGUAAGAUCCAAGUCGUUGAGUAAUCACGAAACUUCUAAGUACCGAAGUGUGGUAUCGUUUUCACUUGCCUUAUCUGUCUCUUAAGUAGAUGUGGCAUCUUCUCUGGAAGUACUUUUCCUCCAUCCAGGGGUGGUAUCUUUAACCGGUGGAGAUGCACAAGGUAAUGUAUCAAUUUCACUUGAAGCUUACUUGUAGUUUCAAGCUUGGUCAAGCGCGAUACAAACCAUGUAGUAGGAGUCCCCCAAGUCGCCGAGCUAGGAGAUCUGCUGAAAAAGGUGACAGACAAGGUAAGCAAUCAGAGUUCAAAGCAAUCAGUCCCAGAUCAGAAGUUUGAUUUCGAGUUUCGGCUGAUUGUUCUCAUUCUCCCUAUCGUGCAGGCAACAAGAAGGAUAAAGAGAAGAAAAAGGAGAAGAGAUGAUAUAAGAUACUUUUGCUUUUGAAGAAGUAACUUUCCAUAGGCUUAUUUCUGGUUUCCUCCAGAGUAUAAGGCCGACUCAAGAAUUUGAUGGUCAAAACAAGUCCAUCAAAUCUAGAGUACGUUCGACCCUGAUGAUAUGCGAUACUUUUGCUAUUGACAAAGUAGUGGAUAUGGCAUGGCGAGGCUGUGCUAUUUGGCGACGGUGUCAGCGAAAGGUUGUUGAAGUUUCUCGAGCUAUUCGGAUAGGGCAACGAUGUCGAGCCUGGAUUUGACUUAGACUCCUCCAUCUGGAUUAUGUGGUUCUGCAGGGAGGGCGUCGUGCUAUAGUGAUCUGUUCCAGCUCAUCGUUGAACCUUUUGCUUCAAUCUUUUGCAUCGCAGAAGCGGUGCGCAACCUUUGCCUUUGAAUGGUCCUUCAGAGUACUACUUCUCAGCGACUCAUCCAUGCUUAGCAGCUUCAGUGUAAAGAGCCAAUAUUGUAUCAACUGUUCUGAGGUAUUUGCCGAAGUGAUUCGUGACCUUGACAACAGUUGAGGAUGAGUACUCGAGAGCAAUGUUAGGCAAGCAACCAUGCAAAGAUUACGGGCAAUCAGUUCCAAAUCAGAAGUUUGAUUUCAGGUUCCGACUAAUUGCGUUCUUUCUCCUUGUCCUACAGGUAAGAGCAAGGGCAAAGGAAAAGACAGGGAAAAAGCAUGAUAUGGGAUACUCUUACUUUUAACCCUGAUGAUAUGAGAUACUCUUGCUCUGGUGUGGCUUGUCUGCAGAGGUAUUAUCGGGGGGAAAAUAAGCUGAGUAUUUUGAGAGACUGCUGAAAUUGCCCUCUCGGAUGUGAAGAAAAGUUGAGUAUUUUUUUUUAUUUGCAGGUCUGCCUGGCUAUGGAGGAUGGAGGUCGACAUAUACAGAAAUUGUCCCAACAGCAAGUAGUAACGUUGUUCCUUUACCCUUCUCGGUAGCAAUGUAGUGGGAGCUGCAAAAUUCACGUGUUUUAACUUUGUCAGAGCACUUUGAAAAAGUGGUCUAUGGUAUCUGGAAAGCUGAUAUUGCGUGUGAAGAUUGCGGACAAAUUUUAUCCAGGGAAAUCUGGCUCUCAAAGUUCGGAGAGUGGUGCCUCUUCGGUUUUCGAGAAAGAAGAUAUGUUAAAGAUCUGGCUUUCGAAAUUCGGAGAGUGUUGCCUCUUCGAUUUUUGAACAAGCAAUCUUAUUUGACACACAUAGGGACUUUCCAGUUAUUAAGCAGUGGUGUUGUUCCUUUACCCUUGUGGGUAAUAGUAAGGUAGCUGGACCUUCAAAUUUUAUGUGUCUAAACUUUGUCAGAGAUCUUUGGCAAAGUUAUCUGGGGUACCCGAGAAGUUGAUGUUGUGUGUCGAGAUUGUCAACAGAUUUUACUCAAGAAAAUCCACUUCUCGAAAUCUGGAGAGUGGUGUCUCUUCGAUUUUUGAACAAACGGCCUUGUUGCCCUUUCUUUUAUAGGGGCACCAAUUGUGUGCAAGAAGUACGUUCAGAGAGUUAUUGCUUGUAGGAAUUUUCCCCUUAUUUUUGUACUUCAGAGAUUUAUUGGACCUCAUUUCUCCUUCAUCGUUUCUGAAAAUGUCUGACCCAUCCGACCGUCAUUUUGACUUGAACUUUGGUGAAGAGGCAGCCAUACCUCCUCAAGACAACAUAUGGCGCCCAUCCUUCUUAUCCCAUACUCCUCUUACUGUUGGGGACUCUAUGAUGAAGAAUGAUAUGACCGCUGCGGUGGUGGCCAGGAACCUUCUCACUCCCAAAGACAACAGACUACUUUCCAAACUGUCUGAUGAGUUGGUUGUUAAGGAUUCUCUAGCUCUCAGUGUUUAGUGUGCAAGUUUUGUGUCUAAUAUGGCCCAACGUCUAUUUGCUCGAACCCGCAAAGUUGAAUCAUUGGCGACUGAAGUGAUAAGUCUCAAACAGGAUAUUAGAGGGCUCAAGCAUGAGAAUAAACAGUUGCACAGGCUCGCACAUGACUAUGCUACAAACAUGAAGAGGAAGCUCGACCAGCUGCAGGAAUCUGAUGGUCAGCUUUUACUUGAUCAUCAGAGGUUAGCGAGUUUGUUCCAAAUGCAUUUAUUGCCUUCGUCUUUUAGGCCUGUACUGCGUAAUGAAGCUCUAAAUGAUCAACCUUCAGUGCCUCCUCCUUCUGGGGUUCUACCCCGUACUGAGACUCCGAAUGAUCACCCUCUGGUGCCUCCUAUUUUUGGGGCUCUGCCGACUGCUGAGACUUCUCCUGAGCAACCUUUGUGAAGGCUCCAUCUUGUUUGUUUAUUUUGAUUCAUGUAAAUGUACAUAUUUGUAACUUAUCGAAGAUAUCAAUAAAUAAGAAUUGCUUCAUUUCAACGUAUUGUGUUAAAUACACCAAAGCUUUCUUCACUAAGUUCUUUGAAUUUUUUCUUUUGUUGAAACUUGUAUGUUGAAGUUUUGUGAGUGAAGCAUGUAGGUUGAGGUAGUGUUCCCUUAAUUUCCCGAGUGAGGAAAACUUCUCAGUUGGAGACUUGAAAAAUCCGAGUCACUGAGUAGUCGUGAACCUUCCAAGUACCGAGGUGUAGUAGCAUAUGGUAGGAGUCCCCCAAGUCUCCGGUCGAGGGAGUUGACGAAGGAGGUGUCUUGCUAGUAGCCAAAUUUCCAAAGUAACAAAACUUCACCGUUUUCCUUUCUAAGUGGUAGCCCAAAACUCCUCAUUCAUAUAUAUUUGUUAUGAAAGUUGUUAGGCCCAAAGAAGAUGAGGCCUAGGCCCUUUUUUUCUUUUUUUUUAAUUUUCAAUUUUUUUUUUUUGAAUUUUCAAAUUUUCAAAUUUUUUAAUUUUCAAAUUUCCGAAAAAAAAAUUAUAUAUAUAUAUUUUAAAGCUUUGUAGGUGAAGCUUUGGUGUUGAAGCUUUGUAGGUGAAGCUUUGAGGUUGAAGCUUUGUUGGGUACCAUGAAUUGAUUUUGCUUCACACUAUCUUGAUCAAGAGUGUGUGAAGCUUUUGGCAUUUGUAGUUGAAGCUUUGGUGUUGAAGCUUUGUAGGUGAAGCUUUUGUGUUGAAGCUUUGUAGGUGAAGCUUUGGAGUUGAAGCUUUUGUAGGUGAAGCUUUGAAGUUGAAGCUUUGUGGGUGAAGAUUUGGAGUUGAAGCUUGUGUAGGUGAAGCUUUGGAGUUGAAGCUUUGUAGGUGAAGCUUUUGUGUUGAAGCUUUGUAGGUGAAGCUUUUGUGUUGAAGCUUUGUAGGUGAAGCUUUGGAGUUGAAGCUUUUGUAGGUGAAGCUUUGGAGGUGAAGCUUUGUAGGUGAAGCUUUUGUGUUGAAGCUUUGUAGGUGAAGCUUUUGUGUUGAAGCUUUGUAGGUGAAGCUUUGGAGUUGAAGCUUUUGUAGGUGAAGCUUUGGAGUUAAAUCUUUUUAAUGUGAAGCUUUGGAGUUGAAGCUUUUCUAGGUGAAGAUUUGGAGUUGUAGCUUUGUGGGUGAAGCUUUGGAGUUGAAGCUUUUGUAGGUGAAGCUUUGGAGUUGAAGCUUUGUAGGUGAAGCUUUUGUGUUGAAGCUUUGUAGGUGAAGCUUUGGAGUUGAAGCUUUGGAGUUGAAGCUUUUGUAGGUGAAGCUUUGUAGGUAAAGCUUUUGUGUUGAAGCUUUGUAGGUGAAGCUUUUGUGUUGAAGCUUUGUAGGUGAAGCUUUGGAGUUGAAGCUUUUGUAGGUGAAGCUUUGGAGUUGAAGCUUUUGAAGGUGAAGCUUUGGAGUUGAAGCUUUUGUAGGUGAAGAUUUGGAGUUGUAGCUUUGUGGGUGAAGCUUUGGAGUUGAAGCUUUUGUAGGUGAAGCUUUGGAGUUGAAGCUUUGUAGGUGAAGCUUUGUGUUGAAGCUUUGUAGGUGAAGCGUUGGAGUUGAAACUUUGGAGUUGAAGCUUUUGUAGGUGAAGCUUUGUAGGUGAAGCUUUGUAGGUAAAGCUUUUGUGUUGAAGCUUUGUAGGUGAAGCUUUGGAGUUGAAGCUUUAUAGGUGAAGCUUUGGAGUUGAAGUUUUGUAGGUGAAGCUUUGGAGUUGAAGCUUUGUAGGUGAAGCUUUGGAGUUGAAGUUUUGUAGGUGAAGCUUUGGUGUUGAAGUUUUGUAGGUGAAGCUUUGGAGUUGAAGCUUUGUAAGUGAAGCUUUGGAGUUGAAGCUUUGUUGGUGAAGUUUUGGUGUUAAAGCUUUGUAGGUGAAGCUUUAGUGUUGAAGCUUUGUAGGUGAAACUUUUGUUGGCACCAUAAAUUGAUUUUGCUUCAAACUAUCUUGAUCAAGAGUGUGUGAAGCUUUUGAGGAUUGUAGUUGCCCUCCAUUGAUGAAGCUUUCUUGACACCAUAAAUUAAUUUUGCUUCACACUAUCUUGAUUAAGAGUGUGUGAAGCUUUUGAGAUUUGUAGUUGUCCUCCAUUGAUGAAGCUUUGUUGGCACUAUAAAUUGAUUUUGCUUCACAUUAUCUUGAUCAAGACUGUGUGAAGCUUUUGAGAUUUGUAGUUGCUCUCCAUUGAUGAAGCUUUGUCUACACCAUAAAUUGAUUUUGCUUCACACUAUCUUGAUCAAGAGUGUGUGAAGCUUUUGAGAAUUGUGGUUGUCCUCCACUGAUGAAGCUUUUGAUUUCAACCAUAAAUUGGUUUUACUUCACACUAUCUUGAUCAAGAGUGUGUUUGUUUUUUUUUUGGGAAAACUGGAAAUUUGAAAAUGUAGGAGAGACAACAAAUACAAGUCACACCUUGUAGUAGUCGAAGGUUUGGAUGAACCAUAUAAAUUGAAUUUGCUUCGAGCAGUCUUGAUAAAGAAUGUGUGAAGCUUUUUACGAGUUGUAGUGUUUGCAUUGUUACAAAGGAGAAAUGUCUGAAGCAGAUGCAAGAGGGCUGAAUAGCUUGAUCUUCGUAUACCAUGCACUGAAGUUGUUGUUGGUUUGCAAUAAGACUUUGUUGGUGGCUAUAACUUUUGUUGGGCAUAAGUGUUCCCCUAGUUGAGUUGUAAAGCUUGAGGGUUUUUGAUUAUUUGUGAAUGCUAGGAGUUCACAUGUACAAGUUGUACCACUCGUCUUCUAGUUGGUGGAAUGAAUGGUGAUUUUCUUUCAUCACCUGGUUGGUGGUACGAAUGUGAGUUCCUUCAUCACAUUUCAUCACCUGGUUUGUGGCAUGAAGAUCAAUUCCUUCUUCACCUAGUUGGUGAUAAGAGUGGCAAGUUGCCAAAUAAUAUUAGAGUAGGGGUUGUACAUUUCAUCACCUGGUUGGUGGCACAAAAGUGAGUUCCUUCUUCACCUGGUUGGUGAUAAGAGUGGCAAGUUGCCAAAUAAUAUUAUAGUACGGGUUAUACAUUUCAUCACCUAGUUGGUAGCACAAAGGUGAAUUCCUUCUUCACUUGGUUGGUGAUAAGAGUGGCAAGUUGCCAAAUAAUAUUAGAGUACGGGUUGUACAUUUCAUCACCUGGUUGGUGGCACGAAAGUAAGUUCCUUCAUCACCUAGUUGGUGAGAAUAAGGGCAAGGUGCCGAGACACAUUGUAGCAAAUGUCGAAUGACACAAAGUAUGUUGAAUCCUUUUGAAGCACAGUUGGGUUAUGUAUGAAUGUGUUGGAAUAUAUGAUUGAACGAAUAUACUGUGAAGCUGUUCUUUUAUUUGUAUAGUCUUGUUGACAUAUACUUAGACUUUGUUUCAUGUUGGAAGCAUUCAUGUUGAAGCUUUGAACCCGAGUGUUUCAUUGCUAGGAAUGUAAGAAGAUUGGGACCGAGUUGUCUAAAUCACCUCUUUAUUGAAUUCAUGUCAAAUGGUCUUCAUUACAUAGGAUGCCGAACGACUGAAGCUUAACACUUGUACAAUGUGAGUUUACUUGUAAUAGUACUUCAAGUGAUCAGCGUUCCAUGGAUGGCCAAGGGUCUUGCCAUUAGAGCUUCUAAACUUGUAGGAGCCAAGGAGACUGAUGCCAACAACUUCAAACAGUCCAUCCUAGUUUGGACUAAGUGUUCCUUCACUCAGGACUCUGUCGCAGAGUAAUCUUUUCUUCAAUACCCAGUCCCCUACUUGGAAAGAAUAAGGUUUAACCCUUGAGUCAUAGUAGUUGGAGAUGCGCUGCUUGUAGGCGACAUUCCUCAAGUGAGCCUGGAUGUCUUUUGAAGUUACCGGUUCCUUCAUGUCGAUGAUUGUUUGGAUCUUCUCAGGAUUAGCUUCAAUGCCUCGUUGGCUAAUCAUGAAGCCUAAGAAUUUGCCGAAACCUACGUCAAAGACACAUUUGUUGAGGUACAACCUCAUUCGAUACCUCUUCAGAAUGGUGAAAGUUUUAGAUAGGUUGGUGAUGUCUUGGUCAGCAUGUUUGCUCUUGACUAGCAUAUCAUCAACGUAAACUUCCAUGCUCUUCCCAAUCUAUUUAGCGAACAUUGAAUUGACUAGUCUCUGAUAAGUUACCCCUGCAUUCUUUAGGCCGAAUGGUAUGACUUUAUAGCAAUAUAGUCCCCUAUCAGUAGUGAAGGCUGUGUGUUCUCGGUCCGGAGGGUUCAUGAGGAUUUGGUUGUAUCCUGAGUUAGCAUCCAUGAAGCUCAGGAGUUCACACCCUGCUAUAGAGUCUAUAAGUCUGUCAAUGAGAGGAAGAAGAAAGCUAUCAUUCAGGCAUCCGUUGUUUAGGUCGGUGUAGUCGACACACAUUCUCCACAAGACCUUUUGGAGCAUGAGACUUUCAUUGGUCGGAUUCUUCUUAACAAGAACAACAUUUGCUACCCACGUUGGAUAAUUGACUUCGCGGACGAAGCCUAUGCCUUUGAGUUUUUCAACUUCUGCCUUCAUUGCCUCAUACCGUUCAGCGUCAUAAGAUCUUCGCUUCUGUCUCACUGCUUGGUCUUUGGGUCAAUACUUAAGCGAUGACAGAUGAUAUCGGGAGAGAUGUUUGGCAUGUCCUCGUAUGACCAGGCGAAGACCUCAGUGUUCUUUUGCAAAAAAAAAGAUCAAUGCCAACCGAAUGGGUGGUGACAAGGUGGUGCCAAUCUUCACCAUGCGAUCUGGAUAAUUUUUUGAGAUAGAAACCUUCUCCAGCUCUUCAGCGGGUUGUGCUUGCUGGGUGAAAGAAUCAUCUCGAGGAUCGUCGGGUUAACUGUUGCCACCGUGAAGAUCCAAGUUGGCUUCAUUCGGGCUGGUAUUUAUGACUUGGUCAUGUAUAGAAAAGGUUUCCUUGGGCACAUGUAGGUGUUGUUGCUUGACCGAAUUGUUGUAACAUGAUCAUGCACUAAGUUGAUCUCCUCUGAUGUAACCAUUGCCAUAAGGGGUUGGAAAUUUCAUCAACAACAUAUGUGUGGAUACCAUGGCCUUGAGAUCAUUGAUGCAUGUGCGUCCAAAGAUGACAUUGUAUGCCGUUGGGCAAUCAACCACCAGGAAGUUAGUGGUAAUGGUAGCUGUGUAAGGGCCUGUACCAAUGGUGAAAGGUAAGUGUAUGCUCCCUAAAGGUUGCACGAUAUCACCGGAAAAGCUUAUCAAAGAAGAAAUCGAGCGAUCGAGCAAGUGUUCAGCUACAUUAAGUGCCUUGAAAGCUUCAGCAAACAUGAUAUUGACCGAAGCCCCUGUGUCUACCGGGAUUCGUCGUACUUCAAAGUUGGCUAUGUGCGCCUCCACGAUCAGUGGGUCGUUGUAAGGGUAGAUGAUACCUCUUUCUUCCUCAGGGUAGAAACAUAUUGGAUCCCAGUUAGGCUUUUGAUACUUGCCUCUCAUGAUGUCUUCCAAGUGAAACACUUGGUAGCCAGACCUUAAAGCUUGUUCGCUAUUUUUCAUGGCCCUAUUGGAAGAUUCAGAUAUGGGUGUGCCGCCGCUUAUGGAAUAAAUCACAUUCACUUAGCAUUGGUUACGAUUAUCCCUUGAAGGGUGAAGAAGGAAUUGAUCAAUUUUUCCUUCAUGUGCCAAAGCUUCAAUAUGAUCACGAAGGGUGAUACACUUCUCGCCGUCAUGGCCGUUAUACUCGUGGUAGCAGUAAAACGUGCCCGUGUUCUUCAUGGGCUUGUAACCCGACUACUUCGGCAUUGGCUUCAGUAUCAGGUGUGCUAUGCUGGGGUAAAUGGCCACGCAUGUGGCGUUCAAAUGUGUGUAUGUCUCAUACCUCGGGGUAGGGCCUGUCCUGACACGUGCUUGGCCCACUGUGUUGACUGCCUGAGGGCGGGCAUUAUCGUGGCGAUACCAUUGGUUAUUGCGAUAGUGUCCCUUACUCCUUUUACUAAAAUGAGACUUGUGAGGAUGGAAAACUUUCCUUUUGCCCUGAGAUUGAUAUGUCUGUUGACUUAGUGAAGUAUUAAGUAAAGUAGGGGGAGACACCGCUGCCGUUUGGAAGGUUGAUGUCUUCUCAUUUGGUUGGAUCUGGCUUCCACUCUCUACUUGCUGAUAAGGGGUGGCAGUGGAGGGUUUCCCUUGAUAUGUCCUUGCCUCGGCAGAGGCAUGGUUGUAAGCAUGUACCAUCACCUCAGAGUAAGUCUUCCAAGUGUUGGCAUUGAUCAUGUACUUGAAGAAACAAUCACGUAGGUGUGCCGUGAAGGCCUUGAGGGCGGUCUUGUCAUCUGCCUCAGCGGAGUGAGAGUACUCAUGGCUGAAGCGACCGGCAUACUCUCGUAGUGACUCGUCCAACUUUUGGCGAUAAGUGUACAAGUCAUCCGCAGAGUGUAAGCGAUCGGUCUGGAAAAUGUGUUGAAAAACAAACAGUUUCCUCAAUUCCUUAAAUGAGUCUACCGUCUUAGGUGGAAGACGGCAAUACCAGUUUAGAGCUCUGCCAGAGAGGGUGUAGGGGAAGAGAAGACAUUGCUCUUCGUCGUUGUGCAUCCGGUAUGCCAUGGUGGACUCAAAGAGGUUAAGGUGUUCAAUCGGGUCCUCAUUUCCAGUAUAGAGUUGCAAACCAAGCUUUUGCUUUGUCUUUGCUUGGAGGGGGUGUCGAGGAUCCUCCUUAUAAGAGGGCCAGGCCUAGGUUGGUUCCAAUCAGGUAUCUCAGCUUGUCGUUCGGCCUUUAACUUGUUUACUUCCUUAAGGAGCUGUAAGACAAGAGGGUCCUGAGUAGAGUCAUGUACCACUGGAGCUUUCUUUCGUAAAUCUCCAUCUCCUCUUGGAAGUAGGAAGGUUUGAUCAAGAGCAUGUGAUUUUUCUCCGGACUCGCCGUACUGACUUCCAAGGUAUGUCUGUUGGAACAUCUUUGAGUCCCUUAUACCUUCGUGUUUCUCUAGGACUUGUUGCCUCUUCCCCAAAUUGGUAACCGGCCUGGGACAUGGGAGGUGACCGAGUCUUUUAGAGACCCUUAGGUCAUUGAUCUUCGAGCUUACAUGGAUGAGAUUGUCUCGAUGUUGCUAUAGGAAGUCUCGACAGUCGCGAAAGACGGCUUUCGAUCAUUCCACUCCUUCUGUAAGGAGGUGUCUUCCUUCACUCCUCCUGCUUCAGGUUGAAGCAGCUGGGUUGAUAAAAGUCUCAUGUUGGUCGCCAUUUCGAUGAGUAGCUUGCUCCUCAACAAGAAUACCCAUGUUGAGGGCAAAUGAUCCUCCGUGUUGGGGGGCACCCAAUUGAUGGUUGACUUCCACAAGGGUGAUGAGCUCCUGUGUUUUAGUAUAUCUAGCCUCGUGGAGCAUCUCGAAGACCUUCUCAUACUAUUAUUGGAUGAUCUCAUUCUUCAUCGUUAUCUUGUUGUUCUGAGCCUCCAGCUCAUCGACUUUAGCCUGAAAAGCAAACUUCUUUUGUUCCUUCUUUCGUUGCUUUGCACCAGGUGCGAGAGGGGUGUUGUUCUGCGUGUUAUGGCUUCCUUCGCUCCCCAUGUUGGAGAGAGAUGCUUGGUCAAAAGAGAGUGUACGAAUGGUGGAAACCAGCUUGACAAAGCUGAAAAGAGUAGGAAUAAGUGCGAUUCCCACAGAGGAUGCCAAAUGUUGAUGCACAAAAUCAAUGAGGACUUUGGUAUAACAGAAAGUGUCAAGUUUGUGACCUUCGCUAGAUUGUUCCGGUCACUAGUGUGGAUAAGUAUGUAAAUGGAUAGAGACAUGGAAGCAAACAUAAGAUGUAUGUGGUUCACCCAGAUUGGCUACGUCCACGAAGUAGAUGAGUUCUCAUUAAUUGUGAAGGGUUUACACAAGUACAUAGGUUCAAGCUCUCCUUUAGUGAGUACUAGUGAAUGAUUUAGUACAAAUGAUAUUAGGAAAUAUUGUGGAGAAUGAUCUUCUUUUAUAGAAGAUAGUUUCUAGCUUUGUUCUGACAUUGACACGUGUCGUGUUGUGAUUGGCUUUUGAUGUUGACACGUGUCGCGCUAUGAUUGGCUUCUGAUGUCGACACGUAUCGCGCUGUGAUUGGCCUCCUGGUUGGAGGGAAACUCUUAUGGGUCCUUGACGGUAUAACGUUGACCGAUGCUCGGUAGUUUCGGGAUUGGUCAAGUAUGGUACAAACAAGUGUUAUUUUAUUUUAUAGAAAAUCGAAGACAUAAGUGUAAAACAAAAAAACAUUCUGAAGAAAAUUAUAGGGGUCGGUCCUGGGCCAAGUCCAAAUGAUGAGCCUAAAUAAAACUAUACCGAAUAUAAUGAUGGGCCUGAUCCAAAAUAUAACUAGACCGGCCGUGAUCAAAACCUAAAUGAAAAGGAAAACAAAAUACUCCCUGGAAUAAAGAUGUAGAAGGAAGUCCCACUUAAGGGCCUAUGGCCAUGGAAUAUAUGUAAACUUGGUGUUGCAAUAGGAUGGUUUACUCAAAUAUAAGUCCCAGUUUACCUCUAGCAAGGUCGUCUGUAUUCAUUUUGAUCUAAGGACAUAGAAAUGGAUGCUAAUGAACAAUAACUAUAACAUGAGUUUAUCUCAAGAUAGACUAAAAGUUGCUUAUCCAAAACACCACGAACACGACUAGGAGUGAAAACUUCAACUGUCCAUUCCAGACCAAAGUAGAACGAAAAAUGCGCAAAAUAAAAAGGGCUUACUUUUAAACUUCACUUUUAUUACUCUAGGUGAUUUUGACAUGACCGGGAGAUUCAUAUUUUUCUACCCAAUUUCGCAUUUCUACUUUGUCUUUCAACGUGACUACAAAGGGGCCCACCCUUAUCAUGAUCCCUUCAUCAUAGUGCACGUAACUAAGUAAGUCUAGCAUGAUAGCGUGAGUUUAAACUCCGUCGGUGACUAAUUUAAUAUCUAAUCUAACAAAAUAUAUCGUUUGACAAAAAAAAAAAAAAAAAAAAAGCCUAGCAAGAGCCUUUUUGCUCCAUAACCAUGGUGUAUGCUUACCAUACACCAUAUUAAUUGACACAGGUCCUUUAACCUAACUCUAGUUAAUUUUCACAAAAUGUUACUUUUUCAAUUUUGAAAAAAAAAAAAACCAAGAUUAAGUAAAAGGACACGCGUCAAUUGAUUAUGUGUAGUAUGAGCAUACAUCAUAGUUCUCUCAGAGCAUAUUCAAAUGAGAUGUCAAAAUCCUAGUUGGAAUGCCACUAUGCAUAUUUGACAUCAAAAGUCUCUCCAACCGAAGUGUUAUUUGUUGAUUGGAUUUGAAAGUUUUGUGAUUUGAAGUCAAAUUUGACAUCAAUGUUAAAUUUAUUUUUAAUUCAUUUUAAUAGUGGGCCUCUUAUUCCAUUAAUAUUCCAACCAAUAAAAAUGUUGUUUCAACAUUUUUUUAAUAGUUAAAACCAUUUAAAGUUCUACUUAAAUAAUAAAAUAAAUUUGACAAUUCAAUUGAAGAAGUACAAAAUUUAACAUAAGACUUUAAAUUACCACAUCAGCCAUCAAUUGUAAUUUGAAUCUUAAAUUCGACAUUUCAUUUGCAAAUGCUUUCAGAUAUCUUAUUGAACUAGGUGGCUAAUUGGGAGCCAGAUGGCACGUAACUACCCAAGUCAACUGUGCUGAGUCCUCUCACAAACGACUUGAAAAAGGUUCAAUCAUGGCAGAUAUUACGGUUGGAGAUUUGCCAUUUUGAGUCAUGGAUGCUGUCUUUUUAAAUCUUAAUACGCAUGCAGGCCAAUUACUUGGAAGCUGCCUUCUUUGAAUGCUUCAAAGAGAUGAGACAUCAAUCCUGCUCUUGACUAGUUCUAAAUUCAAGUCUUUCCUCCCGUCCCUGGCCUACAAUAAGCAUUCUUUUCUACCCCUCUUUUUGGGUUGAAGCCCUAAGUUGUCCAAUCUUGACUUAGAAGCUCUAUACAACUACUAUUUUUGUAAAAUUUAGUGUGAGAAUGUGAGGACAAAAUUCCUCGGUGAGGGACUAAGUCAUGCAAGAGUUUAUAAGGAGUUGGACCUCUUCUCAUAUUGUUUAUUGGUUUUAUGAUGGAAUCCAAUUUUUUCAUAGUAUCAUAGCAGGUUAGCUCGCUUACGUAUGAAGCCCAACGACACACGUGUUCCACGUCACGUAAUUUGUGUUAUCCACAUGUUAGAUUUGAAAAUUUAUCACACAUAUGUGUGAAUAUGAGGACAAAAUCUUACAUCGGUGAAGGAUCAAACUAUGCAAUUGCUUAUAACGAGUUAAGCUAUUUUUCAUAUUACUAAUUGAUUUAUGGUAAAACUCAAAUUCCUUCAUUUAGAAAUGACAGCUUAUAGUCAUACCCAACAAUUAUCUCUGCCCGCCCAGCACUUCCAUGAAAAAGAACCUUUCAAUAUCGUAGAUCCUUUGAAUUAGACCGAAAAAAAAAAAAAAAAAUUUAAUGAGAAGUUUUCGGUACUGUUUACUUUAACGAAAAACCACAUUUUUACACUAAAAAUUAAAUUUUGGUAUUAUUCACUUUACCUUUUAUUUUGUCUUAAAAUUCGAAAUUUUCAAUUUUUUUUAUUAGUUUUCUUAAAAAAGAAACCACAAUUCGAUGCACCAUUCCCACAGUGUCGUGGGCUGUGGCCUUUCAAUAAAAUAUAUAAACAAAGUACCUAAUAAACAAUGCCCAUAGGCUCACACAGUGAAGUACUGAAAUGACAGGUAAAUAACGGCAAGGAACCUAGUCACUCUAGAUGCUCAACCCUAACACAACUACACUUGGGAAAAUUUUUAGUUGUGAUGGAAAUACGGAUGGUACAUCACGUGUUUUCAUGCAAGUGAUGGAAAAUUUUAAUUUUUAAGUUAUUAACCUUUUAACACACAUAACCCACCAUUUAUAUAGAGACACGUGAUGUACCAUUUCGUGUGACGGGAACACUGAAAAAUCUCUCCUACACUUGAAGUCCCACGUAGCUAAUGAUACCUGAAACCAGUAAAACCGGUACUAAACCGUGGGAAUAGUGCACCAGGCCAAUAAAACUCGGAUAAACUUAAAGGGUGUGUUUGUUGCACCGGAUUGUCUCGGACUGGACUAGCUGCAGGGACUAAGCUGGACUGGCUUAGACUAGACUAAACAGGACUAACUUAGUGAAGCGUUUAGUGCAGUGUCGGACUAAAAAGCAGGAUAAAGAAAAAAAAUAACCGAUGAUGUAUAACAAAAUAUUAAUGUUAUUUGCUUCAAUCCAACAAAAAGUAGCAGAUCCACAAUAAAAAAAAAUCGAGGAACAAUUCAAUAAAUAAAUGUUAAUGUUAUUUGCUUCAAUCCAACAAAUAAAUGGAGGAACAAAGCUAAACAUAAGCAAUUCUUGGAAACGAAAUUGAGUAAACAAAGAAACAAUUCCAGAAAAUAUAACAGUUGACUCUGAGCCACUUAUCCUUUACAUUCUCAAUUCUUGUAAUUAAAUUUCAACUACUCACUAUAGACUAAAACUAAGAUACAACAACAAAGCCUUUCCCACUAAGUGGGGUCGGCUAUAUGAAUCCUAGAACGCCAUUGCGCUCGGUUUUGUGUCAUGUCCUCCGUUAGAUCCAAGUACUCUAAGUCUUUUCUUAGAGUCUCUUCCAAAGUUUUCCUAGGUCUUCCUCUACCCCUUCGGCCCUGAACCUCUGUCCCGUAGUCACAUCUUCGAACCGGAGCGUCAGUCGGCCUUCUUUGCACAUGUCCAAAUCACCAGAGCCGAUUUUCUCUCAUCUUUCCUACAAUUUCGGCUACUCCUACUUUACCUCGGAUAUCCUCAUUCCCAAUCUUAUCCUUUCUCGUGUGCCCACACAUCCCACGAAGCAUCCUCAUCUCCGCUACACCCAUUUUGUGUACGUGUUGAUGCUUCACCACCCAACAUUCUCUGCCAUACAACAUCGCUGGCCUUAUUGCCGUCCUAUAAAAUUUUCCCUUGAGCUUCAGUGGCCUACGACGGUCACACAACACGCCGGAUGCACUCUUUCCAUCCAGCUCGUAUUCUAUGGUUGAGAUCUCCAUCUAAUUCUCCGUUCUCUUGCAAGAUAGAUCCUAGGUAACGAAAACGGUCGCUUUUUGUGAUCUUCGCUAGAUUGCUCCGGUCAUUAGUGUGGAUAAGUAUAUAAAUGGAUAGAGAUAGGAAAGCAAACACAAGAUGUACGUGGUUCACCCAGAUUGGCUACGUCCACGGAAUAGAAGAGUUCUCAUUAAUUGUGAAGGGUUUACACAAGUACAUAGGUUCAAGCUCUCCUUUAGUGAGUACGAGUGAAUGAUUUAGUACAAAUGACAUUAGGAAAUAUUGUGGGAGAAUGAUCUCGUAAUCACGAAACUUCUAAGUAUCGGAGUGUGGUGUCGUCUUGACUUGCCUUAUCUGUCUCAUAGGUAGAUGUGGCAUCUUCUCUGGAAGUAACUCUUCCUCCAUCCAGGGGUGGUAUCUUUAACUGGUGGAGAUGCACAAGGUAAUGUAUCAAUUUCACUUGAAGCUUACUUGUAGUUUCAGGCUUGGUCAAGCGCGAUACAAACCAUGUAGUAGGAGUCCCCCAAGUCGCCGAGCUAGGGGGUCUGCUGAAAGAGGUGACAGACAAGGUAAGCAAUCGGAGCUCCGACUGAUUGUUCACCUUCUCCCCAUCUUGCAGCAGCAUGAAGGAUAAAGAGAAGAAAAAUGAGAAGAGAUGAUAUGAGAUACUUUUGCUUUUGAAGAAGUAACUUUCCACAGGCUUAUUCUUGAACUGAGCUGGAGGGUUUUCUGGUUUCCUCCAGAGUAUAAGGCCGACUGAAGAAUUUGAGGGUCAAAACAAGUCCAUCAAAUCUAGAGUACGUUCCACCCUGCUGAUAUGGGAUACUUUUGCUUUUGACAGAGUAAUGGAUGUAUCGGCACGUGUGCUGUUACGCUUGUCUCCACAUGCUUCCUUGUAUCCUUCGCACUUGCCCUAUCUGUUCCUCAAGCAGAUGCGGAAUCUUCCCUGGAGACAUAAGAUGUUGAAGAUGAGUACUCGAGAGCAAUGCCAGGUAAGUAAUCAGGUAAGGGGUUCCAGGCAGUCAGUUCCUGGCUGGAAGCUUGAUUCCAAGUGCUGACUGAUUGCUCUCUUUCUCCUUGUCUUGCAGGUAAAAACAAGGCCAAAAGAAAAAACAGGGAAAAAGCAUGAUAUGGGAUACUCUUGCUUUUAACCCUGAUGAUAUGAGAUAUUCUUGCUCUAGUAUAGCUUGUUUGCAGAGGUAUUAUCGGGGGGAAAGAAAGCUGAAUAUUUCGAAAGGCUUUGUUGGGAGUGCCCUCUCAGAUAUGAUGAAGGGUUGAGCAUUUUUGCAGGUCUGCCUGUCCGUUGGGGAUGGAGGUCAACAUAUAUAGGAGUCUCCCUAACAACAAGUAGUAAUGCUAUUCCUUUACCCUGCUUAGUCAUAGCACGGUAGUGGGAGCUGCCAGUUUCACAUGUUUUAACUUUGUCAGAGCACUUUGAAAAAGUGGUCUGUGGUAUCUGGCUCUCGAGAUUCGGAGAACGAUGCCUCUUCGAUUUUUGAGAAAGCAAUCAUGCUGGGGGUCUGACUCUCGAGAUUCGGAGAGCCGUGUCUCUUCGAUUUUUGAGGAAGUAAUCAUGUUGGGAGUCUGGCUCUCGAGAUUCGGAGGGCGGUGCCUCUUCGAUUUUGGAGCAAGCAAUCUUGUUGGGAGUGUUGUCUCGAAUGUGAGUAAAGGUUGGACAUGUUUGCUAGUCUACCUUGCCACGAAGCACAAAGGUUGACACACAGGGACUUUCCAAUUAUCCAGCAAUGGUACUGUUCCUUUACCCUCUCUUCGAUUUUGAGAAAGUAGUCAUGUUGGGAGUCUGGCUCUCGAGAUUCGGAGGACGGUGCCUCUUCGAUUUUGGAGCAAGCAAUCUUGUUGGGACUGUUUUCUCGAAUGUGAGUAAAGGUUGGGCAUGUUUGCUAGUCUACCUUGCCACGAAGCACAGAGGUUGACACACAGGGACUUUCCAAUUAUCCAGCAGUGGUACUGUUCCUUUACCCUUGUGGGUAAUAAUAUGGUAGCUAGACCUUCUAAAUUUAUGUGUCUAAACUUUGUUAGUGCUGUUUCUUUGCUAUUCUUUUACCUUUCUUGGUCAGAGCGAUGUAGUGGGAGCUGCAAGCUUCACGUGCUCAACUUUGGCAGAGAACUUUGGCAAAGUGAUAUGUGGUACCCAUGAGUUAUUGUUGCGUGUGGGAAAUGGGUGAUUGAACAGUAAGAUUCAUGUGCUUUCUACUUCACCAGAAGUCUUCGAUAGAAUGCCCAUAAUUUCUGCAAAGCUGAGUGUGCGUGUGACAGGUGCUGACAAGGCUAGAAAAGUAGGUGCCUCUUCGAUUUCUGAGAUCGGCCCUCGUGGUCUCUGAGCAGCCCAGCUUUUGAGAAAGCGAGCGCCUCUUCGAUUGAUUCGGAGAACGGUGCCUCACCGAUUUUUGAGAAAUCAAUCAUGCUGGGGGUCUGGCUCUCGAGAUUCCGGGAGCAGUGUCUCUUCGAUUUUUGAGAAAGUAAUCAUGUUGGGAGAGUGGCUCUCGAGAUUCGGAGGGCGGUGCCUCUUCGAUUUUGGAGCAAGCAAUCUUGUUGGGAGUGUUUUCUCGAAUGUGAGUAAAGGUUGGGCAUGUUUGCUAGUCUACCUUGCCACGAAGCACAGAGGUUGACACACAGGGACUUUCCAAUUAUCCAGCAAUGGUACUGUUCCUUUACCCUCUCUUCGAUUUUUAAGAAAGUAGUCAUGUUGGGAGUCUGGCUCUUUAGAUUCGGAGGACGGUGCCUCUUCGAUUUUGGAGCAAGCAAUCUUGUUGGGACUGUUUUCUCGAAUGUUGGUAAAGGUUGGGCAUGUUUGCUAGUCUACCUUGCCACGAAGCACAAAGGUUGACAUACAUGGACUUUCCAAUUAUCCAGCAGUGGUACUGUUCCUUUACCCUUGUGGGUAAUAAUAUGGUAGCUAGACCUUCAAAAUUUAUGGGUCUAAACUUUGUUAGUGCUGUUUCUUUGCUAUUCUUUUACCCUUCUUGGUCAGAGCGAUGUAGUGGGAGCUGCAAGCUUCACGUGCUCAACUUUGGCAGAGAACUUUGGCAAAGUUAUCUGUGGUACCCAUGAGCUAUUGUUGCGUGUGGGAAGUGGGUGAUUGAACAGUAAGAUUCAUGUGUUUUCUACUUCCCCAGAAGUCUUUGACAGAAUGCCCAUAAUUUCCGCAAAGCUGAGUGUGCGUGUGACAGGUGCUGACAAGGCUGGAAAAGUAGGUGCCUCUUCGAUUUCUGAGAUCGGCCCUCGUGGUCUCUAGGGAGCCCAGCUUUUGAGAAAGCGAGCGCCUCUUCGAUUUCUGAGAUCGGCCUUCGUGGUCUUUGAGCAGCCCAACUUUUGAGAAAGCAAACGGCUCUUCGAUUUCUGAGAUCAACCCUCGUGAUCUUUAAGCAGCCCAACUUUUGAGAAAGCAAACGCCUCUUCGAUUUCUGAGCAGGCGCCUCUUUGAUUUCUGAAGCUCCGUCGAGUGCAGAUUUUUAUAGGGGCUGGCAUUAAGUUCCAAAGCACACUUGAAUCUCCACCAGUAGAAGCUUCAUUCUUGCACUUCUAAGAUCUUGAUUUGUCCGACCUCUUCUCUCUUCAACACCUUUGAAAAUGUCUGGCCCCUCCGACCGUCGUUUUGACUUGAACCUUGUUGAAGAGGCAGCCCCGCCUUCUCCAGACAACAUAUGGCGCCCAUCCUUCGUCUCCCCAACUGGUCCUCUUACCGUUGGGGAUUCCGUGAUGAAGAAUGAUAUGACCGCUGCGGUGGUGGCCAGGAACCUUCUCACUCCCAAAGAUAACAGACUACUUUCCAAACGGUCUGAUGAGUUAGCUGUUAAGGAUUCGCUGGCUCUCAGUGUUCAGUGUGCAGGUUCUGUGUCUAAUAUGGCCCAACGCCUAUUUGCUCGAACCCGCCAAGUUGAAUCAUUGGCGGCUGAAGUGAUGAGUCUCAAACAGGAGAUUAGAGGGCUCAAGCAUGAGAAUAAACAGUUGCACCGGCUCGCACAUGACUAUGCUACAAACAUGAAGAGGAAGCUUGACCAGAUGAAGGAAACUGAUGGUCAGGUUUUACUUGACCAUCAGAGAUUUGUGGGUUUAUUCCAAAGGCAUUUAUUGCCUUCGUCUUCUGGGGCUGUACCGCGUAAUGAAGCUCCAAAUGAUCAACCUCUGAUGCCUCCUCCUUCUAGGGUUCUGUCUAGUACUGAGGCUCCAAAUGAUCCCCCUCCGGUGCCUUCUCUUUCUGGGGCUCUACCGACUGCUGAGACUUCUCCUAAGCAACCUUUGUGAAGGCUCCCUCUUGUGUGUUUAUUUUGACUCAUGUAUAUGUACAUAUUUGUAGCUUAUCGGGGAUAUCAAUAAAUAAGCUUUCCUUCAUUUCAACGUAUUGUGUUAAAUACACCAAAGCCUUCUUCGCUAAGUUCUUUGAAUUUUCUUUUGUUGAAGCUUGUAUGUUGAAGCUUUCUGAGUGGAGCAUGUAGGUUGGGGUAGUGUUCCCUUAAUUUCCCGAGUGAGGAAAACUUCUUGGUUGGAGACUUGGAAAAUCCAAGUCACUGAGUGGGAUCGGCUAUAUGAAUCUUAGAACGCCAUUGUGCUCGAUCCUGUGUCAUGUCCUUCGUUAGAUCCAAGUACUCUAAGUCUUUUCUUAGAGUCUCUUCCAAAGUUUUCCUAGGUCUUCCUCUACCCCUUCGGCCCUGAACCUCUGUCCCAUAGUCGCAUCUUCUAAUCGGAGCGUCAGUAGGCCUUCUUUGCACAUGUCCAAACCACCGUAACCGAUUUUCUCUCAUCUUUCCUUCAAUUUCGGCUACUCCUACUUUACCCCGGAUAUCCUCAUUCCUAAUCUUAUCCUUUCUCGUGUGCCCACACAUCCAACGGAGCAUCCUCAUCUCCGCUACACCCAUUUUGUGUACGUGUUGAUGUUUCACCGCCCAACAUUCUGUGCCAUACAGCAUCGCCGGCCUUAUUGCCGUCCUAUAAAAUUUUCCCUUGAGCUUCAGUGGCAUACGGCGGUCACACACACGCCGGAUGCACUCUUCCACUUCAUCCAUCCAGCUUGUAUUCUAUGGUUGAGAUCUCCAUCUAAUUCUCCGUUCUUUUGCAAGAUAGAUCCUAGGUGCAUUCCUCUUCGACGCCGGCGCCGCACGAGACCGACGACAAAACCAAACCAGUUCUACUUAUCCAAACUUGUUCUUUCUUGUUCUAGUUCUUCUCCAAGGUUGUUCUUUACCUAAAGUCCUUCUCCCAACGACCAACAACCGUUGCCAACGGCUGUUAAUGUCAGUGGAGCAAUAGUUGCGGUAAGAAAAAAAGAAAUUAGUAAGAAAUCCCCAAGAGACAUUCCAUGUUAAAUAGGAAAAUCCCCAUGAAUUAUAUGAUCACACAUAAUAGCAUUACUUGGUUAGAGGUGGGGUGGAGCUUCCAGAUUUUCUGUGUGGGUUUCAGACAUGGGACUCUGAUAAUCAAGAGACAAUUCUAUGAAAGCCGAUCCAUUUCCUUAGCGACCUCUUUUGCAUAUAGUAUAUCUCAUUAUGAAGGUUCAAACUCAUUGCUAGAUACCUCAACAUCCUGAAUAAACAUGACCGCAUUGCUUAAACACCUAAAACUCAUCUUAAUUGCAAGGGCUAUGAAGAAAACAUAGCAGAAUAACACAUACAAAAUAUAAAAUGUUACCUGGCUAAUAAAGUACUCUGCAAAGGACAAGGGUGGCUUUAUUGAGCAAUAUCAUGUUUUGCACCAUCCAAAGUGUUCUUGAGCAACAUUGCCACCGUCAUUGGUCCGACGCCACCAGGAACAAGAGUUACCCAUCCGGCUACCUUACAUGCUUCCUAGAAAUCUACAUCUCCAACCAAUCUAUAGCCCGACUUUCUACUCGGGUCGUCUAUAGCAUUUGUGCUGACAACAAUGACAGCAGCACCUGGUUUUACACAACUACCCUUGAUCUGAAAUUCAACAAGGAAAUAUAAUAACAAAAAUGAUAGUAAACAGAUUUCAUUGAGUUAAAACAUAAACAAUAAUCGCCACGAGACGAAGACAAGGAAAGUACAGAACCGACGCAAUGCUAUCUGCACCAGCAGAUGUCAGUUAUUCAAUUUAAGCAACAAUAAAGCCUAGUGAAAGCUUAUAAAUUUCUAAUGCAUUGUCUUACAACUCCAAAGUGAACGAUGGAAUGUCCUUUUUCCUUCACUUGGGAUGAAUGGAACCAAACAACUAGUCCUAUUAUUCUAACUAGAACGAAACUAAGUACUAGAUUUUUUCAUGGAAAGCCAAAAAAUACGAGAUAAGAUAACACAUGCAUGUCAUAAGACGAUGUUACGACAUACCAAUGAACUAUAAUCUAUGAAUUGCCUACCAUCAUUGCUUGUCCUACUGCAGCAAUAAUAAUGUCCGCUUCGCGAAUGAAACUCUCUGGAUCAGGUGUGCGGGAAUGGACUACGUUAACAGUAGCAUCUGCUUUCAAAAGCAGCAAUGAAACUGGUAAUCCAACAAUGUUACUUCUGCCAACAAUCACUGCCUUCUUUCCCUUUAUGCUUAUCCCACUCCGUGACAUAAGUUCAAGACAGCCCUGCAGAAAAAAACCAUUAAAACAAAACUAUAACCUGUACAUGAAUGGCUUUCGCGAUUUUAUGUAAAUAUUGCUUGGACAAUAAGUUCUUUCCACCAUUUAAUUUCCAUAACUUUCUAUGCAACUAACACAAAAUAAACAUGACAGAAAAAACAUACAGAUUAAGCAGCAAACUUACUCGAAUUGAUAGGCAUAACCGACGAGAUCGAUGUUGGGAAUAACAACAGGGCCUCUCGAAAGACAUGCACGGAACGAUUUUCUCAGAAGAAGACGAUUGUUCUUUGCAGGAUCAAAUAUUCUCCUAAAACAAUAUGAUUGAUUUGUGGAUCAAAUUAAUACCCAGAAAUCAAUCAAAACCUAGAAAUCCCAUAAAUAAAUCAAAAUGCAGAAAUCCCACAAGUAAAUCAAAACCCAUAAUCGAUUAAACCCAGAAAUCGUUCAAAACCCACUAACAAUUUCACGAAUCUUCAUAACAAAAUCGAAGAAAACGAAGAAGAGGAAGUGGAAGAGGAAGCCCUGAGAGACUUAUGAGGACGCAGCGUUGGUCGUGGAAUGGUCCGACAAGGUUAUGGAGCAGAGCGGGACGACGAGAGAGAUGACGGUCUUACUAGUCCACUGGUAUUCGGGGGGUCUCGCUAAGACGAUCUAGCGAUCCCCUUAGUCGAGGCAAGUGAAAGGUAAUCCCACUAAAGUUAGUCCGGUUGUGGAACAAACAAGGGACUACAGUCUAGUCCAGUUCAGUCCCUCCUAAUCCGGUCAAACAAACGGGCCCAAAAGCUCUAGUGAGUAGUAAGUAAACUAUAGUUCACAAUAUAAACUAGGGUUCACUAACCAGGCUAUGCUAUAAAGCCAUAAGUACCAAUUCCCAUCCUAUAUUCUCUACCACAGGCUUUCUAACAAUGCCAACGCAUCCUCAAUCGUCUUCCCGUACUGCUCUUGUCAUCCAAGUUCUUCUAGAUCAUUAUUAUAAAACAUGCUCAUCAAAUUAAAUAUGUGUUAAUAGAGGUUAACUCGAAUUUUACAUUAUAAUUAAGCACCUUACUUAUCGCAUGUCCACACUAACAUUUUAAUUGAGUAAAUUUGAUAGUUCCUAUUGUAAUUUUAUUAUUGAGAAAGUGAUAGAGUAAUAUGAUUUGUCACUCUACACAGUGCAUCAGAUAAAGUAACCACUACUUUGUCGUUUUAAAAUGAAUCUCAUAUUUAUAAGAAAAGAAAUUUUGAACAAUCAUAUAAAUAAGUUUGGCUACUCUCUAUAUUACUAAUUAUAACUUUCUUUCACGUCCAUAACAUACUUUUCAAUAUUCAAAAAGUUUAAUAAUGACUUGAACUGUCGUCCAUCCAUAUUUCGGAAUAUUCAAAAAAGUAAAUUAUCUUACAGCUCAUGCGGAAAUUGAUAAGAGUACGUAAAGAGUCAAAGAAGGCAGUUUCCAAGUAAUGCCUGGGAAAAAUCUGGACAAAAAAGGACUUGACCAAAGUCAAGGAACUCAAUCGUUGAAGAAAAUGGAUCCGGAUCUCUCGGGAUCUAAAGGAACUGAGCUUAAAGAUCAAAUAAUCUGGAUCAUUGAAAUUUGAUCUAACGGUUACAAUUAUUAUAACUUUAGAGAUGCCCUAUAUUUGUAGUCAUUUGAUCAAAUUUCAAUGGUCCAGAUUAUUUGAUUCUUAAGCUCAAAUUUUUUGAGUCCGGAAGGAAUCCAGUUCAGAAGAAAAUGAGCUCAAUGUUGACCUGGUUGUUGCUUGAUCCUCUAAUUUAAUCAGAAGAAAUCGCGUAGUCGUCCAGCAACAAAGAUUUCUAUCUCAUAUUAUAUAUGUACAUAAAACAUUCACAUAUGUAUGUUUUUUUUAUAAGAAAUAACAUAUUAGUCAAUAAUUAUUUACAUUUGAUAUAGUAAAUUUAAUUAAUUCAUAAAAUAUAUAAGAAAUCUACCUAAAUUCCCCUAGGACGCCUAGGCGCCCGCCUAGAUCUCGCCUAGCCGCCUAGGCGCUAGGCGCCAGCCCGUCGCCCGACUAGCGCCUAGCGUUUUUUAGAACCUUGUUCAUAACACCCACUUUUCACACAGAGUAAAUUAUAGUAAUAGUCUUUUAACUUUAAUUAGAGGUCGCACUUGGUGCGAUGGCAAGUGCCUUCGCCCAUGAGCGGUAGGUCUCGGGUUCGAGACUUGGGAGCAGCCUCUCCAUAAAUGGGGGUAAGGCUAGCCGACAUUCACCUCUCCCAGAUCCUGCGUAAAGCGGGAGCCUUGUGCACUAGAUACGACCUUUUUAGUCUUUUAACUUUAAUUAAUUUGGAACAAUAGUCCCUUAACUAAAAUCUAUUAUAGUAAAUUAAGGUAUGAUAUUGUAAUGUUUAAAACAUGAUGUAUGAAAUUGUUAUUUGACAUAUAAUUGAAGUAGUUUUGUGCAAUUUAUCCUUAUCAAUUAAAUUGUUUUAUAGUGUCACAGUGUGGAAGGUCAACUUUUUUCAAAUCCAUAACAUACUAUUCAUUAAAAAAAUUAAUAGUGUCUUGAACUUUCAACCAUGCAUCUCGCUAAAUAAGUAAAAGAACAAUCUUACACGCCAUGCAGAAAUUGAAUCAUUCACGAAAAUGAGCUCAUUGUUGACCUUGUUGUGGUUUGAUCCUCUUAUUUAAUACGAAGAAAUCACAUCGUCAUCCAGCAGCUAAGUUUUUUAUUUCAUACUGAGGAUGAAAAAAAAAACAUUGCAAUUGAUUGAAACAGAGUCCCUCUGUAAUUUUGCCAUGGCUUGUCCACUGAUAAAUCUUCUCUUCUUCCUUUUAAUGUUUCUACCAUUUUCCACCCUAGCUCAAACUUCCAAAAACAUUUCUUUAGGCUCAUCCCUCACUGCACUAAAAGAUGGUGACUUAUCCUGGCCAUCACCAUCUGGUGAAUUUGCUUUCGGCUUUCGAGAAGUAGCAAAAGAUGGGUUCCUACUAGCCAUUUGGUUCGAUAAGAUACCAAAUCAAACUAUUGUCUGGUCAGCCAAUCGGGAUAAACUAGUGCCAAAGGGAUCCAAAGUGGAGCUUACGGCCGAUGGCGAGUUUAUUCUCAAUGAUGCAUCUGGCGAGCAAAUAUGGUCCGCUGAAUCUGCCGGUAGUGGAGUUGCCUAUGCAUCCAUGCUAAACACCGGAAAUUUUGUGCUGGUGAAUCGAAGUUCAUCCAAUGUGUGGGAAAGCUUUAGUCAUCCAACCGAUACAAUUCUACCCUCACAAACUCUAAAUCAGAAUGGCAUACUCUAUGCGCGCUACACGGCAACAAAUUACUCGACUGGUAGAUUCCUGUUUUCGCUAAAACCUGAUGGGAAUCUUGUACUUGCGACUACAAAGUUCCCACAAAAUACGCCCAAUGAAGAGUAUUGGUCGAUGGAAAAUCCAAAUAUUGGGUUUCAGGUCAUCUUCAACCAGUCUGGCCUUAUUUACGUCACAGCCAAGAAUGGAAGCUUACUCAGCACCAUAUCAUCCAAUAUGGUUUCAAUGAAAGAUUUUUACCAGAGAGCAACACUAGAGUAUAAUGGAGUAUUUAGGCACUAUGUUUACCCGAAAAACACCAGCUCGAGCUCUGGAAGAUGGAAUAUGACUUGGUCCACUUCCUCAUACGAACCUCCAAACAUCUGCACGUCGAUUAUGGAAUCUAGGGGCGGUGGUGCAUGUGGCUUUAACAGCUUUUGCACGAUUGAAGAUCAAGGACCGACUUGCCAGUGUCCAAAUGGUUACUCCUUUAUUGAUCCAGAGGAUGAGCGCAGAGGAUGCAAGCAAAACUUUGCUCCACAGAGUUGUGGUGAAACGUCAAAGGAGGAGACAGAUCUUUUCGAAUUUCAAGAGCUGAAAAACGCAAAUUGUUGGGGCGGAGACUACGCGCUUUUUGAGAGUGUAUCUGAGGAUUGGUGCCGACAAAAUUGCCUAGAUGAUUGUUUUUGUGCUGCGGCAGUUUACAACAGCGGUGGACAGUGUUGGAAGAAGAGACUCCCUUUCUCUAAUGGGGCAAUUGACCCCAGUAAUACUGGAAAAACUCUGAUAAAAGUUGGGAAACAAAAUUCGACUGUGAAAUGUGGUACCAACACAGAAAAGAAAGACCAUAAAACUUUGAUCCUUUUCGGAUCAGCCAUCCUGAGUGGCUCUGGGGUUCUAAACUUCCUCCUACCAUUGAUUACCUAUUUGGUUGUCUCGCGAUCCUAUUCGAGAAAAGCGAAGGUGAGUCAAACUCAUCCAGUCAUCUCUGGUGUGAAUUUGAAGCAUUUCACUUAUGAGGAGCUAAACAAUGCUACGAGCCAAUUCAAGGAAGAACUAGGACGCGGUGGUUCUGCAAUAGUUUUCAAAGGAGUUCUAGCCUCAGAUAAUGGGAAGAGCGUUGCUGUCAAAAGCUUAGACGCUAGGGUCGGAGAAAAUGAUUUGGAAUUCAAAGCGGAAGUAAGUGCUAUUGGCAGAACAAACCACAGAAAUUUAGUCCAGCU
rnacentral:lncRNA from 1 species